rnacentral:lncRNA from 1 species
CAAACCCACAGCUCUUGUGUGUGGCUGCUUUCCUCGCUCUCUCGAGGUCGUUCGAGCUUCGCCUCCUCUUUUUUGAUCCGUUUCUACCACCUUCGAUUCCAAAGAUGGCGAGAGUUCCAGGCUUCCGAUUUGCCACCGAGGUCGCUCCGCCGCAGCUGGUCGCUGUUGUGAAGCCAAGGGCGUCGAAGAUCUUGGACACGAUUCCUGAGGAGGAGAUGGAUUCCAUCGAAGACCAGUCAUGCUCUUCCGAGAGCAUCCCUUUGUGUGACUGGUUGGAGGAAGACCGUGAUUGGUUGGAGGAAGACGGUGGAGAGAGGAGAAUUUUGGCCUGAAAUUUGGAUCUUCUUGUCCAUGUACAGUUCCUGACUCUGUGACGUUAUUAGCUGUGGGAUUUCGAGGGAAGGAGAGCUCUUCUUUCUUUGGGUGUUUGUUAUUGGAAUUUGUUAACCAUCUUUGUAGCACUUGAGCUUUCUUUCACGAGAGAGAGAGAGCAAGGUGUCGAUGGAGAUGUUUAGGAACAUUAGACUAGGAAAAAGUCUGUUCCCCUGAAGGUUUAACUUUCAAUUAAGGCCUAUUGGAUUGUGCCAUUCCAGUGUUUCUUUCUUUCUUUAAGGUGUAUGCGAGCAGAGCUUUAUUGAAUCCUGUGGUGUCACAAUUACCUGCUCUGAAGCUGCUGAUUGUUUCUUUUUCCAACCAUAGCAUCGAUUUGCCCUUCUGUUCCCCCUUGAAAUUAUAUGAUUAUUGGCAUGUCAAACAAUUAAGAGACCAUUGCUUAGACUACCCAAACAUAAGGCCUAUCAGAUACUAUGUGAACUUUUAUCAAAUGUCGAUCUGAUGAUGUUUUGAGAAAACAAGAGAAAAGAAAAGGUGGAGCAUCAAUUUGAAUAUCGUAUAAGAAAAUUUUCCCUUCACCAUUAAUAUUAAAAGGCUGAAGGCAAGUGGGGAGAUACUCCAUCUUCACCAGACCACCCCCUAGACGGGAUCCAAGCAUACUAUGCACGGGCACAGCCAAUCACCACAGACCAAGACAGACUGCACCCGCUAACAAUCCAAAGGUUCCCUUUAGUGCUAAAUAUCUAUAUAACCUCACGGUAUAAAAGCAUCCAAACACUUGACACUGAUAUGAUAAAAAAUCUAAUAGUAUCAACAAAACAAUCAUCUUCCUAAAAUGCAGCUCUCAUUUCAACCAAAAUUUGAACUCUUUUGUUUAAAGAAAAAUCUCUCCUCCAUAUGCUACUUUCUUUAUACCCAAUUCUGGCAUUCUUGUUACUUUUUGUUUUUUGAAACUGUAGCAGUGCAGAAGACGUGACCAGAUUUUCUGUUGAACAAUCUGAAAAAGGACAUGAAACUUAUUUUAAUUCAAGCAAGAAUGUGUGUGUGUGUAUUCCAAAAUAAGAUGCAUCAAGAAACUGUUUCUAAUGACCAUAGGUUACAACUUGCAGCUGUCAACAGAUACACCAUUUGAAUCCUACAAAAGGAUUCUGUACAGUCUCUCCUUUGCCUCAGAUUCCUCCCAAGGUAUCAGGAAAUUUUGGAGUUAGUUUGCAGCAUAAGAACAGUAAUUCAUGAAGCAAACUUGGGUAAACCAUUGAGAUUAGCCCAGAAGGAACAAAGAAUGGGUCAGAUCAAGAGAACGGUCAGUCCACCAAUAAAUACAAUGACUGAGCGAAAGAAAUAACACGCCGUGGUCACGGUUUUUACAUACCGCUAUCCACAGAACCGAAAGGAUUCACGGUUACUUAAGAUUCGCUGAUAGAUCACACACUUCAUCAUCUUGAGAAGCCACACCAACAGCUUCAAAACCAUUAAAUGUUGCAGCUGCUUCAUUUCACCAUAUCAGCAACUUCUUAAACAUUAAAUAACAAAGCUAGUUGAUCAGCAAAGACUAAUUGUAGACCUGACAUCACCAGGAAAACACUACGCCACAAGUUCAAUUCUUUAGUCUUUUUCAGACAGCAGAAAAACAGAACACAUUCUUCAUUUAUUAUCCUGAAUCCAAUCAAAAGAGAGAUUUUUUUGGCGGAUGGAAACAUGUAACCCACUAAUUCUUAACGAGGAAAUCAUACUUGAUUUUGGAUGCUGCCUCGACAGAAUCUCCAUGAACCAUCAUCUUGCCUUUUCAAAAUAUAUUUAACUUUGUAUGUACUGCAAGAAGACAAUCCCAAAUAAAAAAAAAUGAAAACCCAAAUUUUAGACCAAGCAUGACACUGACAAAUAUACUGAAAGGAAUAACCUGUAAUAACUUGGUUUAUUCAGCUGAGACUCAUCAACAAGCUCAGCAGCUUCUUCUAGUACACCCUCAAUUUCAGCAAUCUCACUACCAACUCCAUCUGAUAUUAUAUCAGCCCGCUGAAUAGACAGAUGCAGUAAAACAAAUCUCCAAAAACAUGACCUAGCUUUUGCUGAAUGUGCUAAAUCUUGCCACUGUCCAUCAAAAAAGGAACAAUGAAGAAUACCCAAAAAAAAAAAAACAAAGUUACAACAAACCAAACAAAAAACAAAUACAAACAUGCAUUCACCUUUGAAAGCAUAGACUCAGCAAGAAUCUCUGAGAGUGCUUGUAUUUUAUAGCUUGGACCCAGUGCCACAGCUUUGAUGUCUUGCCAUUGCUUCACCAGGGCUUCUGCUUCUUCCACAGCCAUUUGUUCCAUUUGUAGCAAAUUACCAGCAACAGCAGGUAGAAGUGAGAGAUCAUCAGUGGGCCAUGAAUUCUGCAAAGUUUCAGCAUCUUUUUGAUGCUUAAGGUGUCUCCUGAAUGGAAUCAACAGGUUCCUAAGCUGGGCCCAAAUGUUUCUAUCAAUAAAGCCAGAAGCACUUUUUAAGCCUGAAUGUUGACUCAUGGUCCAGGCGAGGGCUUCUUGGCUCAUUGGGUGACCAGAGUGCCAUUUAUGUGAAAACUUAGUGUGAAUAAAUUGCAUAUUGAAGAGCUUAAAGGCACCGAGUAGAAAGCAUCCCGCAAGAGUAGUACUUACAGCUUUCCCUGCUAUGUCUCCUACCAAAUACCAGCCUUUCAAACUUUCUGUGUGAUUUAUUCCAAGGUUUCUCUUUAGCUGAAAACAUGCGCCACUAGGGCUACCAGGACCCUUAACUAAAGCUGGUUGACUCUGAAGGUCAGCUGGUGCAAGUUGCUUGACAGCUUCACCCAGAUGUCUAGUUGAAUUAAUAUGUGCCUUCUGCUCUGCAGACGCUCCAUGGACAGGAAAAAGAACAAAGGAUGGUGGUCGAUAACUAGUAGAAGGGACCCUUUUCAUGUUUCCUAUUUUUUGCUUGCCAACACUUAGAAUCUGCUUUGGGCCCCCAAAAACAUUGGCCUAAAAUCAAUAAAUAAGAUUUAGAACAUUCCUAAUCCAAAGAGCCAUGCUUUGUCACAUAUCCAUCCGGUACAGUACUAACCAAUGAUGGAGAGCAAUCUCGUGUAUCGGGAAACAGACAUAGAACAGCAUCCUUCAGCCAUGUUUCCUGAUAAAUUUCAGCAGGUCGUCUGGCAUAAGACAAUUUCAAUCUUAAGGGAAGUUCUCUGAUCAGUAAUAGCUAUGUUUGCAACAAGAAUCUAGGUCAUCUACCUUCCCAAAUUGCCCCUUUUGUCUUGGACAGCAAUAAGGGUAAAGUUAGGUUUUCCAUAACUUCCCAGUGUCAAGAGUUCAUAGUCAAAAGAAACUGUGCACCAAUUGCUGAAUUGCAACAAGGAAGUCACAAUUUGUGAUGAAAUGAGAUAGUUUUUAUUUUAUUUUUUUAAAUUAUAUUUGAAGGUAUUGCUGCAACCACUAAAUUUUGGAAUUGACAUCAGACAAUUUGUUUAUCCUCUAUUAAAAUGGAAACGUAACAACAUGACAUCAGAUAAUUUGUUUACCCUCCAUUAAAAAGGAAACGUAACAACAAGCAGACUUACAUAAAACAUAACAAGAGUUCUCAACAUCUUAUGACAAUUUACAACCAGUAAGAAAACAACAAAAGAACAGCUUUGCAAAAACAACUUUACAAAACAUAUUAUGAAGUAGCACAAAGAAAGAAGAAUAGCUACACAAGAACAACUUUGCAAAACAGACUUGUAAAGCAAGACAUGGUUCAUUAAUUAAAAUAUGAUAACUUUUUUUGGUAUACAAUAAAGGGCAUCUAGAGGGAUAAAUUUCUUGAACAACACAAAGACAACAGUGAAUCUGUAUUUCCUAACAACAUCGCCUACAAGUUUAUCAGCAAAAGUGAAUGGAGGUAGGUGAGCGAGAAAUAGCAGGGGUGCAACAAAGGAGAAUGCAUUUAUGACAUGUGACUGAGCACCUAAGAAGUUAUAGUACCAUGUAUAUCGUUUUAUAAUUGCAUAUAUGCAAGUUUGUCUGUCUGUCCAUCCAGUAAGCAUUCAAUUCAUUGCAUGUAUGUACAUAUCUGCAUACGUAUAUAUGUAUAGCAGCUCCAGUCAUAAAAUAAUACAUUAAUGAAACGCAUGUAACAUUCAAUUUAUUGUUGCUUAAGUCAUAUUAUAUGGCUCGUGGAUCUUUGCAUACAAAAUGAACAUCGUAUUAUGCCCUAUGUUAUUAAUCUUAGGAGUAAAAUAUAGUUUUGUGGUACCAGAAGUUAUUGUCUUCUAAAAGUGUAGACUUGUGUAUGAGUGUUCUCGCAGCAUAUUUGCAUACACAUUCUACCCAAUCUUCAAAACUAAACAGCAGGUAUACGUUUGUAAGCAUUCAAAACAUUGGGAACUCAGAGGGUUGUCGCUGUAGUGUCGAAUGAGCAUCCCAAGACAAGGGAUGAGGGUCAUUUCACCACUUGAGCCACUACCAAAACUCCAAAAGCAUUUGGAAUAAUCAGUUGGUAUACAAAUAAUUGGUAGGCAUACAUAUCUGAGCAUUCAAAGUAUUGGGCAUGGAAAGAGAGAUUGCAACUGAAAGCAUUGAAUUAGCAUCUCAAGCUGAGGGAUAAGGUUGUCAUUUCACCGUUCCAGGCUUUGAGCCAUUAGUGAAAGCCCUUACAGUUGUUGACAGUUCUAAUAGAACUCAAGAAAUUGAAACGUUCCAACUGAAAGCAACAAUAUGGAACAUGUAGCAUGAGUUGUAACCAGAGAAAUUUUUUGAAGCAUUAGAUCAGACAUCUGACAGAGGCAUGUGAAAAACUUUUUGAAGCAUUAGAUCUUUGGAACAAAAGUGUGGCAUUUGCAACUAUGGGUACCUAUAAGUGAAUAAAAGCUCAGGCACAGAGUGCUCUUCUUAGCUUGUUUAUUAUUAACUUUUUUAAUGACCGAAUGCUGGAUAUGUCUUUUAUUCCCAAAUUGAGAGGUGAAAACCACAAUUUAUCUUGAAGGAUGUCCACUCCCUCCUUUACUUCCCAUAUCACAAAAACAUUACGCCAAUGUCCAUUUCAUGUCAAUACCAUGCCCCCCUUAGUCCGGUCAAUUUACCAAACCUACUUAGCAGCUUUCUUUUCUUUUCUUUUCUUCUCUUUAUUGAUAGGAACUCAACAGUUCUUUUGAUGGCAGGCUUCUUUUGACGUCAAAUUCCAGUAGACCACUACAAUCUCCUCAAUCAUCUCUGAAGGUAUCUUAUGCUGACAUGAAAUACCUAUACAGAUUGGAGAAGGCAGAAUUGAUAAGGAUUAGCAUUACUUCAAUAUUUUUUCCUUGCAUCUCUCUCUCUCUCUCUCUCUCUCUCUCUCUAUGUGUGUGUGUGUGCGUGUGUGUGUGUGCUCUUGCGCGUGUGUGAAAUAGGAUCUCAAAUUGACUGAGAAGACAAAGACCCAAGCGAUCUAUAAAUACAUCACCAAAAUCAGUAAAUCAGUUUCCAAAAGAAAAGGAAGUAUAUGAAUUUUAGCAAUCUCAGUGGAACAGAUAUAAAUAAUGCAAUAUAUGGGUUUACAGAGGCCACGUACCAGAAGCAGCACCACCUAAAUAAGUUGAUAUCUCACUUGAAGGGAAAAAAGGGCUAAGAUCACCAGCAUUGGAAGCUGUCUAAAUGAAUGUAAUGUAGUGAAUGCAAGGUUUUUGAGUGAACUUCUACUAUAUUUAUAUUGACAUGAGAAAACAAGCAGAAAAACUAUAUAUAUCUGUAUUUCUUUAUUAGUUACUCCCAUUAUCUCUUCUGUUUUUCAAUGCCCGCGAUCAGCUAUUUUCACAUUCAGCAUUCAUUCCUAUGAAGACAUGAGACCUUAGUCAUUGUAAUUCUUCUACCCUUUCCCUUGUAAUCAAAAGGAAAAUAGCUAUGUACUGCAUAAAUUUCAAUAUCACUUGAAAGAAAAGUGUCCACAAUGAAUACUGAAGUAAACAUUGAAGUUUCCUCAAUUGAUUGACACUUGAGUCCAAUAAAUCAACACCUUCAGGAUUUGUUCAUAUUUUUAGACAAAAAGAGAAGAGAAAGCCCGCAAGGGGGGGGGGGUGUUGUUGGGUGGUGGCAGGGGGCACAGAUCUUCAAUGGCUAACACUUUCAAGAAAAAUAUAUGAAGAAAACAUAAUAAAUUGUCAGGAUAAACCGGCUGCAAGACUAAUCUAAAAGCUUCCUAAUCUGUUCCUACCAAAAAGAAAUAAUGUGCAGCAUAUGACGUACCAACAACUGAUUAACAGUGCCCUUGACUUUGUUGUCUCUUACUGUAGUUGGAUCAAAAGUCCGUAAAGUUGAAUUUCCAUUGACUUCAAGUUGGUGAAGUUUUCCAAUAGCUGCUGUCCCAUCACCCUGAGCACCAACAGUUAGUUUUUGUAUAUCUAAAUGCAAAACAAUACAAAUGUCCCUUAAAAAUUUACCUGCCCAAGAAGAAAAGAGCAGAAGGCUUCCUCAAAUUUUAAAUCCACACCAUCUGAUGCAAGCAAACACUCACAGAUGGUUUUUGCUCUAGCGAUCUGCAUCACAGAUUACCAAGAGUUAGACCAUUGCAUUGAGACAAUAAAAUUAUCGUCUUUAGCUAAGAAAAGGAUACCUUAUCAAUUUGUCUUUUUGAAAAUCCAAGAGCAAUAUGAGCUAUCAUCCCCAUAUAAAAACAAUUAUAAUCAAUUACAGCUCUCUGAUUCUGUGAUUCUAGAGAUUUCUUGUUCUUGCGACUAACAGCCAAGCUGUCCCAAGAAAGAAGAUCUACUAUUUCAGUAGCCAUUAGCUUAUUCAUUGCCUGGCUCAAGAAACAAGACCAGUCUUGAACUCUACAUGAAGAUUCAACAUCAAGACCCUGUCUAAGCAAUUCACGCAAGGCUGAAAUUGCUCCUCUCCUACGUUCAGCAUUAUCAGGAGUGCGAGGCAUGUCUAAUAUCUCCAAUGUGCAAGCAGGUGCAAGCUCCUCUAAGGAUUCUUCUAUCUAGAAGCAUACCAAACAAAUCCAGUUAUUUGAAGGAAUGCGUGAUGAAUGGAAAUGGACAUGUAAGGUGUUUGCCUGUGAUAGCAAUGGCAUUUUUCCUAGAGAAAUUUUGCUCCUCAAUAGGUAUUGAGCACGAGCUAGAGCUUCAAAUCCUUCAGAUACUUUGCUUUUUUCAAAACCAGUCUUCGCAAUUGAGCACUUCAUCAAAAAAAAAAAGUGAGAAGAUAAUUGACAGAGUGAUAAAUACUGACACAAUUAAAAAGCAAUGCGUAAAAUGAUUUAUUUAAAAAAAAAAAAAAACUUGUCAAUACUUCAGAUAGUGCCAUGGAGACAAGCAAAUCAUGAACAUAUGGUUUAGCAUCAGGAAGUUGCACAGCUGCUCGACCAAUAUCCAAUACCAGUUUUUCCUGUCCCACCUGUAUGAAAUAAUUAGUCUUCUGUCACCUCUAAUUGGGUUAAAUUAUAACACAUAAAUACCUUAGUGUAGCAAAUUAGUAUCAGAUUUUGGAAACUGAAUUUUGACGUAGUAUAAUAGACAUAUUCCAUGCAUAUCAAUCAGUAUACAUAUCCCACCUCACAGGGUGCCUUUCUUGAAUAAGAAUCAAUGCAUAUAGCAACAUCCAUAUAGGACCUUUCUACAUUCCAAUAUUCCAAGCAAAAUUGGCAUAUAAUUAAAUGAAUUAUCAUUACGAUGCAGAAAUGCUUCAAGUGCACAAACCUUCUUAGAGGUUCUAAACAUAUAUAUUCAAGCUCUGAAUCAUAUAACAGUGCAGACAUCACUAUACAUAGGUGCAAUUGUGUUGAUAACCAUGUUAGUACAUCUUGAAUUGCCUUUUUUAAGAAUUGGAGGUCCCAAGUGAGAAUAACUUUGAGGAAGUAUUUGUUACUGCUUGAUCUGUUUCAGCUGACCAAAAGCAUGUGAAAACUCUAUGCAUUCCUAUGGAAUACCAUAAAAUGGAUUCGGAAACCAAGCGUAUAUCUAAAUUAGGAGGGCAGGUAAAUUCAAAUAAGCGCAUCACUAAUUAGAUGUCUUAAGAAUAUUAACCCUAUAAUCAUGACAGCUCUCUCAAUUCAGAUGACAGAUUUCCUUCCUCACUGCUAAGUUGGAGUUCACAACAUUGGCAAAGUCGUAGCAAAUUUGACCAACCAAGGUAGAAGCUCAACCUAAAUUUUCCUAAAGCUUAAAGCAGAAAGUUGGUGCUAAUUAAUAAUUCAACUUUCUGACUAAAUGGAGAGGAAUUAUUGAGGAUAUGCGAUCAGCAUUUCUAUUAGAGCUCUAAGAUGGCUUUUCAAUCAUAUAUUUCUCUUGUACCAAAUUCUCGAAAUCAAAGUUUGACCAAACCAAGCAAUAAACAAUGUUACGAAACUAUAGCAAGCAAAUGGGAACCAGGGGGCCACCUAGUGCCUAUGCAUCAAGCAGUUGCAUAGGCACGUGUUUAAACCUAAAAAGACAGAUAUGGCACAACUUACCAUAUACAGCACAUCAUUGGGAACUACUAACUUGCAACAGCAAUACUAAUUUAUAAAUCAAUCUAAAUCUCCAUACUCAAAAUGAUGCAAAAUGUUAAGGGGUGAACCGAGGCAGCUCCGUCUAGGAAGACCAUCUCGGCAGCCAUCAGUGUUUUAAGAAGCAGAUUUGGUAUUCAAGCUGCAUAUGUGAGUGCAUAUAUGGCUGCUCUUUAUUAACAAUUUAAAUGAAAUAUAAUAUUAAUUAUUAAAACAACAACAACAAUAAUAAUAAUCAUAUAAUAACAACAAUUUUAAAUGGAUGGAUAAUAGCAAUAUUAAUAACAAAAAUAACUAACAAUUAGUGCUGAUUACCUAGUAUCUUACGACCAAUAGCAAUAACUAUAACAGAAUCAACAUUUUACCACCAUUACUACUCAUAUCAGGCCUACCUAAAAUCCACAUCAAACCUAAUCAUGAGCUUGAACCUGCUUCACCUACAUGGGUCCACAAAAGAGUAGGUUGUAUACAUAGUCCGAAAAUGCUAUGUUGGCUCACAUAUGCAGUCAUAUGAUAAUAAGCAUGCCACAUAUACAGCCGUUCAAUCAUAAGUUGGCCAACUUUUUGAUCCAUGGGUGGUAUGAUGGCAUACGCUACUGCAUAUAGACAAUGUGGUGUGGUCAAAGGACAGUGUUGAUGCAAAAAUCCGCCGACGUCGGAGAAGUUGGAGUCGAGGGAGUCGCGGUCGCCGCUGGGACCUGCAAAAAAAGUCUAAACCGGAGUUGGGGGUGCUCCGGCAAGACCUUUCGACGCUCAAGUCAGUUCUCUGCCUCAACAAGAAUGGAGUGCUCGAACGAAAAUUUUUNNNNNNNNNNNNNNNNNNNNNNNNNNNNNNNNNNNNNNNNNNNNNNNNNNNNNNNNNNNNNNNNNNNNNNNNNNNNNGUAGCAGAAGCUCGGAGUAUAUCGCUUGUAGCAGAAGCUCGAUGUAGAUCGCUUGUGGUGGGGGCUCGGAGUCCGGCCCUUGUAAGAAUUCAGAUGAGGUCUACCUGCAAUGGGAGCUCAGGGCUGAAGUCCGACUCCCGUAGGAGCUCAGACGAAGUCUCCCUGUAGUAGGAGUCCGGAGAAGAAGUCCGGCUCGGAUGAAACCCAGAAGGCGGUCGACCGCCGUAGAAACUUGGAUGGAGCCCGUCCGUCGUGGAGAUCUGUUGUUGGGAAAGUUCGGCCACUGACGAACUGACGUAGUUCUGGAAGAAAUUCGGAUUGGAGUCGAUCGAAUCCUGUCGGAAAAGAUCCGGAAGGGGUCCGGAGAACGGUUGACCCUUGUAGGAGAUCGGCCGAUGGUAGAAUCCAGAGAGCACUUGGAACAGCCUGAUGGACAACCGAAGAAGCUUAUCGCUGGAGAAGCCCGGGAGAUGCAGCAGGAGUUCGUCCGUCGGGAGAACCCGGUCGACACUCGUGGAAGAAGCUGUGGGAGUUUAUCCGUCGGCAGAACUUGGAAAUAUUGCGGAAGCUCGACCGCCGGAGAGGUUCGAAAAGAUGUCGCCCAAGGUUGGACGUCGGCAGAGUCCCGGGAGGAUCACUCCUGGUAUGAACUUCGGCUGGGGGGGUAUUUUAUACCCAACAGACAGCAUAAACACGUGCAGGCCUAUAUGCUGCAGUAUGCAAUCCAUUUCAUAACACUGACAGCUAUGUUUUGAAACAUUGCCGAUACAGUGGAUCUGAGCUCAGCUAUUAUUUUUAACACAAGUUUAACAGUGUUGUUUAGCUGAUCAACUUAUUAAAUGAUUGUGAGAAAAGUUAAACCCCUUUUCCAGAUGAAUGCAUCAGCAUGUUAGCAUGAAAAAGGAGCACUGAGAUCAUUACAUCAGCUUCAUAAGGAAAAUAAAAGUUCAUAACUACUCAGAUUGACAGAUGUUUGCCUUCUUCUUUAGCCAUAUUGCACGAUGAUUUAAAUAAAAAAGUCUAUAUACCACAAAUUUUGGCAAGAAUACCUCCUGUAGAAGGCAAAGGGCACCAGGCAGCCAAUUCCAAGGAAUAUGAAGAAUAGAUUUUGGUGGAAUAUUUUCCUUUAUAUUGCCAGCAUAGUCCAGCUCAAAAAGAAGUUUAUCCCUCACAUCCAUCAAAAGAUCCUGUGAAUCAGCAACAGAAACAACCAGAUCUGAAACUUUUGGAAUUUUCCUAGAAAAGACAACGUAUAACAUAGAAAUAUUAAUACCAAACCAAAUACCUGCCGGGAAAUAAUGACAUCUGCUGUGUAUCCAUCUUCAAUCUGUGAAUUCUUCAGCUCCAUUGCUGCUUUCACAAUCUCAUCCUUUUCAGCUUGCUCAGGUAAGCCAAGAAUCUGCAAAAUCAUUCAGAAGGCUGCCAUCAUGAUAAUGAAGAUAAUGAGUUAAAGAUAUGACAAUUCAGUAUAAAUCAUAGCACGGGUUACUGUGCACCACCUUCUUGGGAUGUGACCUGUAAAAGGACCAGCAAAAAUAGUAUAUUAAAUAAGUACAUGGGUAUAGUUGCUUAUGUUAAAGAAGAAUAUUAGGGUUCUAGGGCUGUAAAAGGACCAUUUGUAAGUCUCUCCUGUAACCAAUCUCACAGCAUCUUAACAUCACGAAGGCAACACUCAUCUCUUUGAUACAUACCUCAUCUUGAUUUGUCUAAAACACAUCAGUUCACUUCUCAAACAGCUUUUCCGUUUUAGAACUAAUAGCAUAAUUGUUUCCCAAAUUCUAAUUUUAUCACCUCCCUUAUUCUUCCUAAUAUUGUACAGUUUCUUAGUCAAUUGUUGUUUUAUUGCAUGGUUAUAUUUGCAGAAAUGAGACUAAAAAAGCAGAAGGCAAGAAAUCAAAAUAAUCUCAAGAACUGUGGUAUCAGAAUUCCAGGGUCCACUGAUUGGUAUUUAUCAUUUAAUUGAGUCUCUCAGGAGAUGCAACUCUAUUAGGAUUUCUUUCUAAGAUAUUACAAAUCAAAUUAAGAGCGCAAGGAAAUACAUCAGAAAGUAUGCAUGGCCUUAAAAGGUAACUUAUAAUGCCUCCCCUUGGCAAUGAAGCACCCAUAAGGAGGUUCAUGGGGAAUCAUAGCACAAGAUUUCGACCCACUAGUAAAUCAUAGAGUGGAAUGAUGAUUACGGGACCUGAGAUUGCUUUUGGAUGCAAAUAUUCGGAUCAAGCAAAUCAAAAGGCAUUCAAAAACUCAUUUUACUUCGAAAUCAAAUACACAAUACCAUAAUUCUUCACACCCCCACCAAAACAAAACAAAAAAAAAAAAACAAAGAAAUCAAUACAUGCAAUGGGAUAAUAUUCCAAGUAAAUAUGUCGCCAUCCUCACCUGAUAACAAGUGACGGGAACCUCAACGCCCGAUCGAACCUGGCCAUUUGCCACGGCCGGCCCCUUCAUCACCCUCACCCUCGCCUGCCCGGAGAUCUCCCUCCGGAAGGAACGGGAUCUAGUCUCCAGAGAAACCUCGUUUUGAACUCCGCCGUUCCCCUUACAACCAAGCGAGGCCACGCCGCCCGAAGCCAAGGCCUUGCGCCUCUCACUCAGACCGCAAUUCCCGAAGCCAGGGCCCGGCCGGGGCAAGCCGAGCACCAGAUGAGCAAACGUCAUGCCCAAAACGAAAGCCCAAUCACCUCUCCUUCUCCCGCUCCUCCCCCAUUUCCAUGGAAAAUAACGAUCGAGUGGAGGGGAGUUGUUACAAAUCCUUGGCGACGGUUAGGGCUUUUUUUUCUUGCAUUGUCGGACAAAAUUUUGGAGAUAGAGAUGACACAAGGGGGUAGAAGAAAAAGGCCACGGCGGAGCGAGAGAAGAGAAAAAGAAGAGGACGGGAAGCCUUGACGCCCAAGCUUCGGUGCGUUUGAAGAGAGGGAGGAGCGGAGCGAGGAGUGAAACGGGAAAAGGGACAGCUGGGGAGACUAAAAGCGGAUUGCUUUCUUUUUUUUUUUUAUUUAUUAAUUUGUUUUUAUUUUUAUUUUCCUUGAGCACAUACGGACUAACGGUCCAGAAUCCUAUGAUCGGGGAAAGUUCGAAACAAAUAGAGUUCCUUUUGUAAAGAGUCCCCUUGUGCCAUCCAGCCACUGGUCCUGUUGACUUUCCAGUACAUACGAUGAAUACCAAUAAAAUGAUAGUUCCUCGUCACACACCAAAUAUCAUGAAUAAAAAGAUACAGCAUCAAACGAUUGUCCUUACAAUCAUAAUGGUCGAGACUCCCUCGAUCAUCAACCUUUCAAAUCAUCUAUAGCUCCACCAUCUGAGCCAUGCUGUCAAUGAGAUGACACCCACCAGCAGUCAAAAAUUUAAACUCAAAUUUGCAAAUUACGAAUCAUAUAUCCUCUUUACUGCUUCUCAUAUUGCCAUCAAAAUUGCUCUUGAAAUAUUUGAACAUAGAAACUCCUAAGUGAUAAAUACUGAAUCAGAGUGUUGUUGCUUUAAGAAGCAAACAAAUGGGCAUCAUAUUAAAUUUUUUUAAUAGAUAAAAUAAUAUUUUUUUGAUAAAAUACAUAUAUAAUUUUAAUACUUCCUGUAAAGCAAUAUGAGAUAUCUACGUCAGUAUAUUGCCACCCAAAUAAGAACGGGAAGGGAACCAGCAAUUUCAAAAUAAAAAUACCAGGAGGCCCACCCCUUGCUACCUUAUAUGAUGGAAUUGCUGGCUUACAACAUGAUAAAUCCACCAAUCUUCUCAUGCCAGUGGCAUGCCAAAGUACCAAGACAUCUUUUUGCCAACAGGACUUAGCUGUGCAGUCUUUCUCAUUUUGAAAUGUUAGGCUUUUUCCUGAUGUUAUAGCUGAUGAAGGCUAAAGUAUCAAAAUGCCAGAUUAUGCAAUAAAUUGAGACUAUUUAUUUCUUCAAAGGUUGGUUUUAAUAGAACUUGAGUAAGAAAGCCAAAAAAUGAUAUUAUUGAUUUUAGGCUGAUAAUCUAAAUUUAUAUCAGCCCAGACACAAUUGUUUUCCCGGUUCUGAUAAACUGCUAAUAUUUGGCACCCUCCCUACUUAGAAGAGAACAAUUUAAACACGAAUCAAUAUCUGAGCCAAACAAUUGAAAACAAAUCUCUCACAGCACUGCAAAUUUGCUAAGAUGUAGAAGAGUUUCUGAAGGUCCCACAUGUCAACCGUCGGGCUCAAGGUUUGGUAGGGGCUGCCUUGGAACCCUCCAGCCCGAGUUCAACCAUACCUGACAGCUAGACAAGGAGAAUGAAUGGAUAACAAACAGAAGAACACAUCCUUUCAUGUCUUCGAGGUCAACCUCGAUCAAAACCACACUCACAAGGAGAUUAACACCGAACUACUCACAAUAGAAAACCCUCAGGCACCUCCAGGAGAGCAACACUGAAGCACAUUCACACAAUACGUACAUCAGUAAAAGCAAAAUAUGUUUUUUCUAACCCUUCGAACAGUCAGUAUCUGAUUAGUCCGGCACUACCAAAAAACCGAGACGGCCACCUUCCAUCACCCCCCCUUGCAGAGACCAAGGGCAUUACAGUUUUUGUACUACAUUGAAUAUCACCAAAUCAAAAGAUUGAUCCUUCACAAAAAAAAAAAAGGAUAAAAGUUAGAAGAAUAGAACUUCAAAAUAAACUUAAAGCCAAUUUUCCAUUUGAGAACGGUCCAGAACGAUGUAUUCCAAUAAACACAUCCACAUAAGAAAAUGGCUGGCCGCCCAGUGGAUCCAAAAUUUACAAAGAUACUGUCAUAUAAGGAGCUCUACAAAAAGCCUCAACAUCUGUCAUACCACAGCAAAAUGCCGCACCGGCCAAAACAACAACAGACUGAGAUUACAAACUGCAAAAGAAGAGGAACCAAUUGAGGGGAUAUGACAGAUUACUUAGCAACAAAACAUCAGGAUAUUGCUGUGCCGUCUAUCAUAAAUGCCCAUUCCAGAAUGAUAAAUCAAAAUCAGGUCAACAACUGUCCUACAGUUAGUCAUCAGCAUCAGCAGAUGAAGUUGAUAAUGGCUGAGAUGACUUUAACUCCUACGAUGCUGAUGCAGUUGGGUCUCCAAUUUCCUGUGGCAGAUCUGUUUCCAUCAUGUGUUUCUCUUCAUCUUCAGAUUCUACUAUAGGUUCUUCAGAUUCAGCCUUUGACCUGACACAGUACAGCGAAUUAUAAGAUUUGAGAUUCCAUAACUGUUUCCAGUGGAAUGACCCGGUAUCCUACAAGUGAAGGUGCUCAUAAAAAGCCAUAUCUGUUCAAGAUUUUCUAAAAGCAACACAUUUGAUUGAUCAAAGCAUCAAACCAUCGUGUCAAUCAUGUUCAAGAUCCAAAAGAACCACUAGUCAUGAUUGGAGGUCCAUGAAAGGCACAGGAUCGAAUUUAUAGAAGUCUAGUUAUAUCUCAGAUCAAGGUUUUAAAUCCCACAAAAUGGGGCUAUCUCGGUUUUUCCAUGAAACGAGACGCGUUGUCGUCCCGACAUUUGGGACAAAGAAUAUCCCAAGACGUCUCAAUCGGGACGUCCUUGUCUCGAUACAUAGGAUGGUACCCCAUCCCCGUGUCUUGUGGGACGUCCUGUUGGGACUUGAAUCCUCAUCUUAGAUAUGAAGGAUAGUAGGAAUUCUUUAUAAAUCAAAGGUGCAUUUAAUCAAACCCAUACCAAGGAUCCCCUACAAGGAUAACCGUGUAAGAGAAGAUAAGGGGCAAGAAAAGCUCAAGAGCCACGAAGACUAAAAGCACAACAAACUAUUCACAGGAGUUGAACUAAAGCAGGAAAACGAUAAGAUGGCUUUAAAUUCACCUUGGUUAAAAGCAAAAAUGCAGUGAUAUGAAACACUCACCUUGGUUUAAAAUUACGGACUUUUAAAUCCUGUAUAACACGGAUGAAUGCAUGAAGAGCCAUUUUCUUAACCUGGAUCAUGUUCAAUAAAGUUAGAAACCAUAACAGGAAUUGGAACAAAAUCUUCAAGAUGCAUAACAACAAACAAAUUUAAUAGAAGCAUGAAAAAGCACAAUUAUGGAUUUAUAGGGAAGAAGCAUAGGACCAAAUUAGUAAACCUCUAGCUUAUCUUCCUUAGCCCUGUGCUCUUCUGGAAGUACACGAAAUUCUUCUGUUAAUCGAAUGCAUUGACGGACAUUCUCAGGAGACACAAAGUCUAGAGCAACCUUUAUGCAUGACUGUUCAUGAGGGAAAAAAAUGUCAAAUUGCAGUUACCAAUGAAUCAAGCAUAAACCCUUGGAUUAAGUCAGAAUAAUAGUUCAUAAAUAACAAAUAAUCCACUUAUCAUGUAAAUAAAAGAGAAGCACACCUUCAAAUUUCUAACUUGAUGGGGACAUCCUGCUGGGAUAAAGACAGCCUCGCCAAGCUUUUGCUCAAAAGUCCAGGGCUCAAUUCCUAAAUGAAUCCAAGAUUAUUAGAUCUAGAUGCCUUCAAUCUUAGCAAUACGAAUGCAUAACAGAUAACCAACAAGGCCAUCAUUGUGUCCAUAAUUAGUGUAAGAUUAACUGACCAUAUUCAUCCUUAAGCUUCCUUUUAUGCUCCAAGGUUAAAUAGAAAGACUGGUCAUGAAUAGGGUGAAGCACCUAUAACAGACGAUUGAAGUUAUUUACAAUGCAAAAAGGAAGAUGAAGUGCAAUACAACAUAAUACUGUGCAUAAUGACUUGUUACCUGUUCAACUGGAGAACAGUGGACAUGCCUGAACUCUCUAGCAUGUUUUUUAAGAUAUUCCUGUAGCUUCGUAACAUCUUCUCUUCUAAAAAUAUCCCACAAAGCACCACCUUCUGGCUGCUUCUGCUCUUUUUCCUCUAUGCUGUCACCAGACACAGCAGAUCGUUGCUCUCUUACGUUAGCUGAACCUCCGGCUUCCUUCACCUCUGCACCAUUUUCAGAAUCUGAAAGUUCCUCCACUUGACCACCAUCAGCAUUUUCAGUGGUUUCAGUGUUGACAGUAACAGGAUCAAGUUCUCUUUUCAUUCGUUGACCAGAAACUGCAGGCUUUCUCCCCCUCCUUUUCUUCCUACUUCUAUUUUUUGUUCUCUCAUCUGGCCCUUCAGAAACUUUAUGAUUGUUACCCUCAGCUUGGAUCUCCACAUCAUUACCAGAUUUGUCUUCUGGUUCGAGAUGAGGAGAUAGCAUCACAGUUUCACCCUCGCUCUGAAUUUCCCCUGAAGUUUGCCCAGGCACUACCUUGCUCGGCUUCUUCCCAAAAUCAGCAGGCUGGCCCCUCUUCUUUUGACCUCGUUUCGUCUUAACCACAAGCAUUUCAUCAUCAUCCUUAACAUUUGCAUUACGCACUUCAUCAUUUUCAGUUUUACUGGAAAACUGACUAGCAUUAUCUCCUUGAUCGACUCCUCUAGAGCAAGAGACUCCAUUGCUUUCAGUUUUAACAGGACACAGAGGGAAAUUGUCAUUACCAUACAGCCCAGUUUGGCAAGCAUCAUUACCUGCUUCAGCUUUGACACCAGUAUCCUGAUCAGAUCCUUCCUCCCAAGCUCCAUUUCUGGCAUUUACCACUGCCAAUAUCUGCAACUGACCAGUUCCUUUCAAGGAGGAUUCAGAUAUAGGAAAAUCUCCAUCAGCAGCGGCACAAGACUGAAUAUCAACCAAAUCAGAUGUGGAUUUAAUCACUGAUGGAUCUUCAGUAUGAACUUCCACAGUCUCUUUUAAAUCAUCACAGACUUUGCCAGAAUGCCGGAUUUCAUUCUGGCAUAUAUUCACUUGACCCAUCUCUGGACUUCUAAGAGCUCCUUCACCAUUCAAAUUACAAGAAGCCAUUUGACCAACUUUCUUCUCUUCCAAUUCACUAGCUGAUGCAUGCAACUUAAUGGUUUUCAGAACAGGCUUGUCGACAGAAAGCUUCAGACAAAUUCCAUCACCUGCUUGACUAUCAUCUUCAGUUGUUUGAUGUCCUUUCAAAUCUUCAUUCUGAGAAAGCUUUUGGUUAUUUGAUAAACAACCAUUUUGUCCCUCUUGUUCAUCAUGCAUUACACCUCUUUCAGCUUCAAUGUCAGAAAAGCUUGCAUCAGCAUCUUUCUGAACAUCCAUUGCAUCCCCAAUCUUAAUAUCUGAAUCGUUCACAUGAGAUUCAGCUAUAGAGAGAGAAUUUAUUUUUUGCUGACCAAAAGAAUCAUCACAUAUCAUAUUGUUGGCUUGAACAGGAUGAUGAAGGUCAUUUUCUAAACUAGGUGCUUGAAUGGAGUGUUUUCCCCCAGCAGUAAAGGUGACAUAUGACUUAUCAUCAGGAGGCUCCAUUACAGAUUUCCCUGGAGAUGGCGAUGAGUUCUCUUCUGGAUCUUUUCGUGUGGUACAAUUCUGUUCUCUUAAAUCUUGAUCCCUGUGUUUCUUUUUCAACUUCUCUAUCCUAGAAAGCUGAUAAUCAGUAAGGGUUAUCUCUGCUGUGUGUGUUAAGACAUUCACCUGGGUAAGCAAUUACAUAUCAGGCAUUAAAAAAUUUCCCUGAUUAAAAUGGAGUAAUGUGCGAAACACAAACUACUGAAAUGAUCUAAAACACAGGCUCAACAACAAAUGCUAAUGAAAAAAGGUUUAAUCUAAUGUACUAAUACUAUUAAAAAACGGCAAACAGAAAAUCUAACCAUUAAAUUCAAUAAUUACAGCCCAUGAUUUUAUAGGUGUUUCCAGAGAUCAAGAGAUGAUAGCCAAAAACAACAAACACCAAAAAAUGAUGGUCACAACAAACACCAAAAAAUGAUGGUAACAACAAACAGACGUUUCUGCUUUAGCUUUUCAACACUUUCCCAAUAAAAAACAGAAAACUUAAAAUGGUUAAUACUGCAGAAGGAUAACCUUUCGGGAGAUAUCAAAUCAUUAAAGCCAGGGGCACUAAUGUAUCCUCAAAAGCUCUGAAAUCAGAUUCUGAGACUAUUGCACAAACAUGUGGAUGAGUUAGGCUAUAUAUGUAUUGACUCACCUCAUACAGAAAACCAAAUGUCAAUUAUCAACAUGGGGUAACUUAUACCAACUUACCAAAAAUUGAGCCACAGAUGAACAUGAUAUUUAUUUUUUUACGGUACACGAACAUGAUAUUAAUAAUUGAAGAAAAAUACAUACUGCAUCAGACAUAUCACAAUGAAGCUUCGUCACGGAAUCACCCCUGCCCAACUCUUGGGGAAGACCAUAAGCAAUAUAUGUUUUGGGUCCCAGGUCUGGCUUUAGAACAUCCUUCGGCAGCUUCACUGCAAGAUUCAGAGGACCAUACCUAGGAUCUGUAUAUUCCGGGAAUGGCAAAGCAGUUAUAAACUCGGCACCAUGGCGAGGUAACCGAUCCUCAAAGGAACUGGCUGGAGGCCAAUCCUUCAGUUUUAGCAUCUCAGGCCAUUGAUUUCUGUGAGUUCGCCCCUCAGUAUAUCCUCUGAAAAAUUGGUGAAUAUUUAUCUCAACCUACAACAUACAACAUAUGCAUCAGGGAGUCUCAAGUUAGAUAGAUAGCACAAAACACCACCAUGCAGUUGGCCAGUCUGCCAACACAUUUCCUAGCAUUAGACUGUGAAAAUUAUACAGGAUGGUAAAAACACAUCAAACAAGGAACACACAGCUUUCAAAAAUAGACAUAGGCAACUGCCUACUUGCAUGACAUUCAUCAGAUAGUCCAUUUUAUCCAAUGUAAAAAAUGAACAACCAAGGAACACACAUUCCCCAACUGCAGAGACGGUUGCAACUACAUAUCCACAAAAGUUUCUUCAAAGAUUCUUUGCUUCAAUAGGUACAUGUAGUGUGUACAUUUCCAUCUGAAUAGAGCAUUACCAAAUUACAUUCCUUCAGAAAUCUAUUCAAAUGUUUACUAGGAUUUAAAUUAAUUGACAAACUUCAUACAUUGGUCAAAAUGUACUUCACUGUGAGUAGAUUUUACAACCGCAGCAGUUUUUGUUCAUGCUUAACACAAUGGAACAAAUUGUCAUCCAACUAAGGAUGCAUCAGUUGCAUAUACAUGAUUAAGAAGUUUGGAAAGCUCUGUCAGUCAUGAUGCAAAGAAAAUAAAUAAAGGAAAAUAUAGACCGUUCUACAACUUUUUCAACAGAACAAGGACAAUACCAAAGAUGUGUGUGUAUUCAAUGAAACUACUUUAGAAACAUCUCCUAACAUCAAAAACAUCAAUGAGAUACCAAAACUAACCUCACACCAAUCCAAACAAUCAAUAGCCUUUACUGCAAGCUGCUCAGAUGAAGCCUUAGACUUUGUCUUCUCUCGCAAUGCACGCCACAUAACCAUUGGCUCCCAGCUCAGGCCAGAAGUAAGCUCAAGUACAUCACGAACAAUCACCGGCUCUCCCUUUAACCAGUGGUUUUGGAAGUGCUUCAGUUCUCCCUGUUGAAUAUCUCUAGCAGUAGGACAGUAUAAAUAAUUAUCAUCAGAAUUCUCCCUAUAGGCUGCUUUCCGCAACAUUUCACUCCCAGCAUUAAUAUUACCAGAUGCAGUGAAACAGGCACAUGAACUGGACAUGUCCCCAAAUUUUGCAAACCUAUUGCUCCUAGCAAUUGCAUCAGCUUUCUCCUCUAACUGGAAAAGCAACUUUUCAGGAAACAUGCACUUCAGCUCCAAGAGGGAGCUGCCACAGCCCCCAAUCUCCUUUGGCGGGCAAGGAAUGCUGCCAUCACUAUUUGCUUUCCAUCUUGUCAUAUGAGUCAUUCGAUCUGUAGAGAUAGCAAUCCGGUUGUCUAUAGAACUCUCUUGACUUUUUUUCCUCUUCUCUUGACCUUUAUUCAUGCGACGAGGACAUCCCCCAUGCACAUAAUCCUUACCCCUGUCCUGAUAUGGCAAAAUUACUGUCCCAUCACCACCAGCUAUGUGACCUUCACGUAGUUCCCGGCAGCAACUAAGGCAUAAGUCAUAUGAACAGCGACGGCAGCUUCUAUGGAAAUCAACAAUAGAGGUUCUGCAAUUGUCACUGCUCCAGAACAAUUUCAGAGAUCAGGUUUUUGAAAGGCUUAACUUAACCACAUGCGGAGCCUAUUACUUAUGAAGAGCAAAGUUUCCAUCAGUUGAGAUAUCAGUCAGUAAGUAUCAAAGGCUCAAUGAUACUAUAUAACUAAUAUCUCAGAUGAAAUUUCCUAAUCAAUCUUUACAAUCUUAAAUGAACAUUUAACAUAAAUGCUUUUGUGGAAAUUGUUAGAAUACACGGAAAGUUCUUCAGGCCCACCUACUGCUAGCUUGGCAACUUAAAAUUUAAUCCACCAUCCAUAUUGUGCAAAUUCCUGAGAAUCAUGCAAGUCCCCUCAAGCCAUGUGGCAGGAGGAACUUUUCAUGUCCAUCAGACAAGGGCCCCCCAGCAUUACUCAUUUUUAAAUAUUAGAUAUUUAAGUUUAUGCAAUAAGAAUAGUAUGUAAUCAUGGAUUUACCAAUAUUGGCCAAUAUUUAGAUAUCUAAGUUCCAUGGUAUCAGCCAACAUAUGGAAAAUAUCCAGUCCUCAUAUAUUUUUUCCAAGUGUUCCAUUUUGGCCAAGAGAAAACCCAAUUUAGGUCUAGAUCGGCAUAGGCCAUCAAACAAGAUGACCGAGAUCUAUGGUUUUAAAAAAUCUUGAUGAGGGAAAGAGUUUUACCAGUAGACACGUUCAUCCUUUUGACAGUUAGCUCUUUUUAACUUUAUUUCAGUCAAUGCACAACCUGGUCAGGAGAAAAAUGCAGCAGCAGGGGAGAAAGAUCAGAUGGAAAAGAAUGGAUGGAAAAGGUAUACAACUUUAAGUCCAAUUUAUGCCAAUGAUACCUCGGAUCUUGGCCUCGAUUUCCUUUUCUGCCAUCUGUUCUUGUUGUAGUUCUUUCAACCAUGGCAGCAAUAAGCGUACAAUAUAACAGUUGUAUUGGACUCGGUCAGCAUUCUUAAUCUUUUUUUCAGGAGGCUAGAGUCAAGAUAGAGAGUGUGUCAUCAGAUAUGAUUACAUAAGUAGAGAACCAAAUGCAACAAUGAUCAAGAAUUCCAAAUACCAAAAUCAGACCUCAGAAACUCCUUUCAUUCGCAAGCAUGCCUUGCAAUUGCAAUUGUUGCAGCAAACUGGGCAUUCUUUUGCAAAUUCAGCCUCCGAUAAGUGAGGAUACCUGAUAAAAAUCACAAAGGAAAAAGCAUAUACAUAAUAGAACAUCUAUAUUUUCAAGCUUGCAAUUUUCACUAUUACACUAUGAAACACUGAAUACCUUACCACUGCAGCCACUGACCUCAAAAGAAUACCUAUCAGCUAACUCCAUACAACCUUCUAAACAGUCAAAAGAACAGUAAAAUUUGGAAGCAUAGAACAUAUUCCUUAACGAUGUCAAUGAUAACAGCAUAAAAUUUACACAUUUCUACAAUUCAGCCCUGGCAGAAAGAAGGUAGAAGAAACUUUUUUUUCUUAGAAAAAAGAAACGGAUGAGACAUGGAAUAGUAAACGAGCAAAAAGGGAAAUAUGGAAUUUAUCAUAAAAUUGCGAUGAAGAGCUUUUAAAGGUUAAAACCUACAAAUGAGAACAUACAUUUACAAGAAGAAUGAAUAGAUAAAGAAGAAAGGUGCAAGGAUCAUCACUCACCAGCGAGUCAUGCACGGUACACAAAAGCGCUUCCUUUUGCACAUCAAACACCAUACUACCCUUCCCUUAUCAUUCCUCUGGCAUUGGUGGCACAUUAGGGCAUCCUCCCCUGUCAGUACCCUCCUCUUAGAACCCUAAAAAAGAAGAUACAUGCUAUAAAUUAACUGCAUUCGACCAAACCAAAGAGAUAAAGUCGUGCGUCCAACCCAUAGUGGAGAGAAUUUAUUACCUCAGGUUUUUUCUCAGGGCCUAAAACCUUGUUGGAGUUCCUCGUAACCCUAGCAACAGAAGAGGGCCCAGCUUCCAAAUCCUCCUUCUUGGCCUUUCUCCCCUUCCCACCCUCCUUCUUCCAAUGCUUCCUCUUUCGCUUCUUCCCCACCUUCGAAACUUCCUCUUCUUCCACUUCUUCGUCGCCCUAAUCCUCAUCACAUCACCGUAUGUUAAAAUAAAAAAAUAAAAAAAAAAAGGAAGAAGAAGAAGAUAAAUUUUUGUCAUACAAAACAGUAGAUAAAUUUCUAAAGCCCACACAAAAUCGUUCCCUGCCUUCUCCAGGCCGAAAACAGCAAGAAACGAAAACGGAAAGGAUCAAAUCUUUCUCCAAGAAAGAAGGAGAAAAACUUAAGCAUUGCAAGAAAUCGCCCCUCAAGCUCGCCAGAACCGAAAAAGAUAAAGAACGCAAAGGAAAACAAAAAAAGAUCGAAUUUUGCGCCAAAAAACAAAGAAAAGACCGCAAAUUAACUUGAAGAAAUCGCUCUCUGACCUUCACGAGUCCGUCUUCCUCGUUCUCCUCAUCGCUUCCGAAAACGUCCACCACUAUCGGCUUCACCGGCUUCCUUUCCCUCAUCUGGAUAUCCCUUCCGGCGAACAUUCCACCAACGCUAGCCGCCGGCGGCCGGAACGUCCUAUCAUCACUCUUCUUCCUCCGCCGGCUGCUCCGCCCGCCCCCGCUCUCCCCAUCCCUCGACGAAACCCUAACCCUACUUUUAUUCACCUGCUGCUCGUGAUGAACCUCGCAGAGGGUGAUUCCUUCCUUCCUCCAGUUCUUGCACCGCCACGACUUGCCGUCGCUCCGCUUGCACCGCCGAUCCGUCGGCGGCGUCCCCGGCCGCUGCCCGCCGGCCAUCCUCUCCCCAGAAAACCCGGUUCUCUCGCCCCGAAACCUCCGGUUUUUGAAACCCACUCGUCCCGCCACAGAGAAAAAGACCGGUAGCAGUGAAAAGGGAAACGAAAAGACCAGUCUUUGCUUGAUGGCGUAAAGAAAGAAGCGGGGUAGAUGAUGAGAGUAUAUAUAUAUACAUCCAUAAAAGAGAGAAUGGAACAAUUAAGAGCUGGUGCAAAAUAGACUCUCUCGCUUCCUAGCUUGAAUCGCUGUCCGGGAAAUGCAAAUUUAAUGCAUGGGAAACGGGUUCGAGAAACGGCACGAGGCCAACGCGUGGCUGGGGCGGAGGAGAAGCGGGAUGGGGCGGGGGUAGCGGACGGCGCCCUCGGAUUUUUGGGAGGAGAGCCAAAACCAGCGGCGGGGCUGCCGGUUUCGGGGGAGCGCCCGCCCGUUGCGCGAUCGAUUGGGGUUUGGUGUUCCGGAGGUACGAGUUAUCGUCCCCUGUCGCGCGCGUGGGCGUAUGGCGCGGUUUGCGAAUUUUGGCCCGUGUGUCGGAUGAGUGCGUCCCGCUGGACCCAACCUGCGAGCUCUCGGAUUGGAAGGAAGCCAAUCUGGGCCAAGAAUACCAUCUUUAUACUCUCUUGCCGGAUUAUAAACUAUGGAAAUGGUUUGGAGCUGGAUGCUCGGGCGGGGAAAUGUACGGACUGACGUUCCACGUCUCCACCAACUUUCUCAUGCUUCAUCUUACCAUAAACUGUUUUCUCUAUUUUAAAAUCAGAAGCAGGAGUAGAUCUGAAGAAGAUUUUUUUUUUUUUCAAGAAAUAUACGAAGCAAGUAAUCGGAUGAAGUAAAUAUAGAAUAAAUUAAAAAAUUAUUCAUCCAAAUAUAAUUUAUUUAUUAAAUAAAUUAAAAAUUUAUAUUUAAAUCUAAUUUAUUUAUUAAAUAGAUAAUUCGUUCCGAUAUGUCUAAUCCAUUUAUCAAAUAGAUCAAAUUAGGUUAAAUAUAUUAGGCCCAUGAUUCAAUGGAUUAAAUAGAUUAUCUAACUUAAUUUAAUUUAAAUAUUAAAUAGAUUAGACGAAUUAAAUGAGUUAAAUAUCUAAAACUCAAAUUCGAUUCAAAUAUUAAACAGAUUAAAUGGAGUAAUCUAUUUAUAAUCUAAAUCUAUUUAUGAUAGAUCAUAUUUUAUUUUUUUUAAUUUUAAUCAUAUAUUAUAUAAAUAGGCUCACGUUAGACAGAUGUGGUAAGAAAAAUAUAGAUAGUUGCGCAUGAUUGUUGAAGAGAAGACGUAUGAAAAGAAAAUAGAAAGGGUAUUGGUGGUUGGAAGGUUUGAUACAUGGCAGAGACGCUAGCAAUUGUUUUACCGCGAAACUUGAUACGAGGAGUUAGUGAAACACCAUUGCUGUGUCGUAGGCGUGAGCAAAUUGUGUGAUUGGAUGUAUCCACCACAUCGCUAUCUUGGAAAUGGAGGCUCUCAUUCGUCAUGAGAACAGUGUUGCGUUUGAAUGCUAAAUACGUGAGGUAGCUGUCGAACAUUAGGUGCAAAAAUAUUAUGCGAAAGAGAGAGCUCUUCAAGAUAGAUAUAAGCAUGUACGGCUCUCAAUGGUGUAAAUGAUGCAUGGCAAAGGAUGCUGAAUCAUUUAGAAAAGAUUAUUGGACAUCAUUAAGAUACCAGCUCUGAAGUUUAAGAUGUGGGAGGAGGCCAAGCCCCCGAUUUAAGGUUCGUAAAUAGGUUAAUAACUAUAUGCAAGGAUAUAUUAGUUUGGAUCCCUCAAGUUCUAAUGUGAAAAAUAAUCAUAGAACCAUUUUAUUAAGAUUGCAACUUAAUUGAUAAAGUGGCAAAUUCUAACAGGCAUUUGAAGUAUUCUGAAAGAUCCCUAAAUAAUGUCUAUAAAAGCCAGGAAGGACAAAUUAGCAAAGAAUUAUUUAUCUUUUUUUGAUAAAUAAGAAUUGUGUAUCUUUCAAGAUUAUGAAAAGUCAGAUCAUUUAUCUUUUGGACAUCGUCACUUUUUAGAGUACCUAGUCCAAACCCUAAAUUUCUAAACGCUGAAGUUUUCAUUUGUUUUGAUUUACCCACAUUAGUGAAAGCUCUCGUUCCUUUGUUUCCAUUAGUUGGGUAUUCUUUUUCAAUUUUGAAAGGUCAAUUUAUUUUAAUAUAUAAUUUAUUAUAUUGUCAAUGUUUUCUCUCAACAUAGCUUACGCUCCUUUGUUUCUUUAAAAAAACAAAAUAAAAUCUCUCUUGAAAAUGAAGGUUCAGCUUGCUCCAAGCUAUUGCCGUUAUGCUUGGGCUACAACUAAUCGUGGAAGUCAAAUAUUGCCAAGAGGUUCUACCAGAAUAUCUAUCUUUUCUUUUCUUUCUAUAGAAUUUGCCAUGUUAUCAUAACUUUUUUCUUUUGAUAUAAAAAUCUAAAACCAUAAACAUACAAAACCUAUGAAGAUUAAAAUGCAUGAUAAAUUCCAUCCUUUCUUCCUUCUUUUAACACUCUAUUUCCAUUAAAAAUUGAUAAAAUUCUUUUAUAUCAAGGCAUCAAACUCAUGAAACCCAACCUAUCAACUUUUGCGUCGCAUGAUGGCACCAUUUAAUAGAUACCGAUCGACCCAUCAUACCAUGCAGCUGUAAUAUUCGACAUUGGACAAAACAGCAAUGAAAGCAAGUUAUCUAGACAUCUAAAUCUAGACAAAAUAGCAGAGAGCCCUCAGCUCAGAUUAUUUAUGCAAUCUUUUUCAAUUUUGAUACAAUCCAUAUAUUCCUAAAACAAAUAUUAACUUUCCGUGUUUAUAAAUUUUUAUCAUGCAUAAGAAUCCAUGUCUCACUUUCACCGCACUCUAAUUAAAUACAGCAAACAUCAUCUGCAAAUCAACCAAAACCUAAAUUAGUAAGAACUUUAGUUUUUAUCAUACAUCACGUUUCUAUCCUCUUGAUUCCCAAUGCCCUUCACUUCAUGUAGAACCACCUAGGCUAGUAUUACCACCUCACUUGCCACCUUUGUUGGCUCUUGCUCUUCUGGCUUCCGCUAGCCUCUAGCAUAUAAUAUCGUAUGAAAUGGAUGCCUCUUAGUACUUUCAGCAACUUCUAAUUAAUAGCUUAAUCGAACCCACUUUAGUUGUCUCCAUAUUGAACGUGCCCGUUUGCUUUAUUGGAAUUGUAAGCAAUUGCCCAGCAAUGACAUUACGAACUUCAUCCAAUAUUGAUAAAAUAAAAAUAAAAAUUGAGUUUUAAUUGAGAUCGGUAACAACAUCCAAUAUUACCCCUCUCCAUACAAAAAAAAUGACAAAAUAGGAACAUCGCCCCUAUUUCAAUCGGAGGCCUUUAGAGGCUCUCCUGUCUCCUUCCCUCCUCCUCUCUAUCUUUUUCUCUCUUUUCUUCUCCCUUUCCUCUUCUUGUCAGCCCUUCAUCGAGCGUAAUAGGCCUUCAGUAACCUUCAGAGGCUCUCUCUCUCCUUCCCUUUCCCCUCUCAUUUUUUUUCUUUCAUCCUUCCUUUAUCCUGCUGCAUCGAUUCAAAUCUGACAUAGAACGAUAUGGAGGCUUACUAAACCAUUUAAUUGGCUGAUCAGUUCGGACUUCGAUACUAGUACAACGAAUCUUAAUUAAAAAAAUAUGACUUAAAGCAUGCAUAAUAUAUCAGAGUUAACCUCACGCCAACCCAUAUAACUAAUUUCUUUAAAUUUAAAAGCACUCAUAGAUAUUGACUUGUCUCACAAUGCAUGCUAUAUAACCAUUGGCUCCCAGCUUAGGUUAUAAGUAAGCGCAAGCACAUCAUGAACAAUUACCCAAUGAUUUUGGAGGUAUUCUAGAGAAGGUAGAUGGAUUGAUGUAUCUCUUUUACCAAUAUUCAUUGCGGGACAUCUUCUUUCUGAUUUUUUGAAUUGUAUUCUUAUUUGUUGUGUAUACGAAUUCUUCCAAUUUAUCAAAAAAAAUACAUAUCUUUAGUGGUCGGAUGGCAUAAAUAGUUAUCGUCAGAAUUCUUCUUACAAGUUGCUUUCUGAAACAGUUCGCUCCCAGCAUUUAGAUGGCAAACAGGAGCAUCACUGAACAUGUCCCCAAAUCUCCCAAGCACAUCGCUUCCAGCAAUUGUAUCCACUUUCUCCUCUAUCCAACAAAGCAACUUUUCAGGGAAGUCAUGCGCUUCAGCUCCGCAAGGGGACUUACUGUUGGGAGAUACGGACCGACCUACGGACCGACCUACGGACCAACCGACCGACCGAUCGUCGGAUGCCAUUACUGACUGAGGGUAUGUCGGUCGGGCGGACCUUUUUUACUCUCCCGACCGACUGCACCAGGGAGUCCGAUGGCCGACUCUAGCAACAUGUCCGACUGACUGUCGGAGGGGCCUGGAUCUCCACCCGACGCCAUACAGCUGGCGACCGGUCUAGGAUCGGUCGACUCCUCCGAUCGCCGUACAGCUGCUAGAGACUGUCAGCCCUGACAGCAACAUGCGGCACUGCCACCUAAAGGCAUUAUCCCACCUAGGGCAUUGUCAACCCUAGUGAUUUGACAGCCCCACGGCGAUGUGACACUUUCACGGUGACUCUGACAGUCUACAGUGAGUUGACAAUUCCUCAAUUGUCCGUGCCAUUAAUGACGGCGCCAUACCAUGCUCCACCAUAUAUAUAUAUCGGGGAAGGCAACAGUGCAAGAGGCCCUUCGAAGCGACAGGCUUGCUCCCUCUCUCUUUCUCUCUCUCUCUCUCGAUUGAGCUCCCUGUCUUCAUUUCACUGUUGCCCAUUCACCUCUCUGACUUGACCGUCGGAGGGUCCCCGUCGGAGCCGCCUCCGGUCAGUGUGGACUUCCUUUUUUGCAGACGCUCGUUCCCGGCGACCAGACGACGAGGGGAUUGGCCGCAACACUUACCAUCAAUAUUUGCUUUCUAUUCUUGCAUAGGAAUCAGAUAAUCUGUUGAGAUAGCAAGCUGCCUGUCUAAAGAACUCUCUGUUAACUUUUUUCCUGACCUAUUGACCUUUCUUUGCCUGAUGAGGAGAUUCCGCAUGCACAUGAUCUUUACCUCUAUCUUGAUAUGGCAAAACUACCAUCCCAAAGACCACCAUGUAUGCAACCUUCUUUAAGAUCCCAGAAGUGAUUUAUUUAAUUUUGAUCUGCAUCUGGACCCAAACAUGCAUGCAGUCAUCCCGGUCACAUUCACAUGAAACAACACCACUUCCUCGGUAGCAACAGGAAGCUUCAUGUCCACCUCCGACUCCACCUCUCCUCGACCUACUUCUUCUGCCAACCUUUCGCUAAGCCGGCAUUCUCAUAGUAGUAGGUGUUCUUGGCUCGGAGGGUGAAACUGAACUCUGGGUCUGGCUCGAACUGCACGACGGAGAAGGUUGUGGACGUAAAACUUGGGUGGAGCGAAAUAGCAGUGCAGCACAACGAUAACGAUGGCGGCAGCGGGGAGGAUGCAUUGGGUACAGCGGUUGGUCUUCGAUGCAGCGACGUGAUGACAUCGACGGCGAUGGUUUCCGGUGGCGGAAAGGAGUGGGCCUCCACCGUCAUGGCGCCGCUUCUUGGAGGAUGAUAAGGGGGCUGUUGGCAAGCUUUUGGACAGAGAUUUUGGAUGGUUUAAGCAGCUCGCAAACGUACGAGAACGAAGCCAUGUCAAUCGUUACAUUUUUUUUUUUUAAUAAAACAAUUAUAAUUCCGUUCUGGAUGCUAAUAAUUAAAGGAAACCAGAAAAUGUAGAUACAUAUAACAAUAUGUUAUAAAUGUCGUGGUGGGAUUUAUUUCCUCACAUAUUUCUUAUAAAUGCCGUGGUGGGAUUUAUAACAAUUACAUUUUUUUUUUUGAUAAAACAAUUAUAAUACCGUUCUGGAUGCUAAUAAUUAAAGGAAACCAGAAAAUGUAGAUACAUAUAACAAUAUGUUAUAAAUGUCGUGGUGGGAUUUAUUUCCUCACUUAUUUCCGUCCAGAAUUUAGAUGAAUUCAAACACACGUAGUAUACAAGGCAAAUAUAAAAAAAAAGGAUUGAAUUAGAGGUCCUAUGAAUUGAUGGCAUUCCCCAAUCUUUUUGGUAAAUGAGCUUCCCUUUUUAAAUAUUUAACAACUAAAAUACUUGAAUUCGAAAUUCAACCGUCUGCUUAUCUUUUUGGUAUGUAUCACUGAAUAUGAAUGAAUUCAAGAAUGAACCUAUGCACUACUGUUUAAGGCUAUCUAAACGUAUCUACUCAAUGUCGUUAAAUUUAAGAAUUCACCACUCUUAAUUCAACAAAAAGCUCUGCUUCCACUCUACCUAAUUAAAUAAUCUAAAUCAUUAAAGACCAGAACAAGAAGAUCAGUGUUACAAGAUAGUUUAUCGAAAACUAGCAUUCGUGCUUUCCUUUCUGAUCGAACCAAACCAUCACGAGCUCGCUCUCCUCAAAACUCGCGAGUACGGUGGUGAACGACCUCUCCUUGCCUCCGCGCUUUCGCCAGAUUUUCGAAACUGGGAAGCUGUCAUUGUUUCAACAUGGCCGAGGUUCGGUUCUCAUUUCUCUUGUACUACCAGGUUUUUGGGAUUCAAUAAUCUCAGGUUCCCCCAAACAGAAGAUUUCUUCACUCCCAUUGUUUACUCAUAGGCGACCACGCACGAAAAAAUAUAUUCAUGGAUAGGUUAUAUACCGAUUACCGAUGUUGCAUUCUUUCACAUUUGGGUACAUAGAAUAUGAGCAACACAGAGAUCACACGCAAAUGCAGCGAUGAUUCAUUGUCAAGCAUUUAAAACAUGACCAUUUUGCAAAUCAAUUAAGAAACUACAUACGGGCAUUUAUAGCAUGAGAGUACCAGAUUUUCAUAUAGUUCACCAGGGCUCCUGUAAGCAGCCGUAAUGAGUAAUGUAAGAGGCUCUAAUCACCUUCCUUGACAAGGUUCAUGCUAGAAGGAUAUAGCGAAUAUAUGUCGCAUAUUCAAGACCCCAAAGGCAAAGUACUUUUUAGCGACAACAGAUUCAGAAGGAGACAAAACGUGUUGCUAUAAACUGUUUAACUGUUGCAGCAGAAGAAAAUUGCAUACUUCUCCUACGUUCAAGAAAAAAUAAUGGUCCUGGAUGAUGACAGAUUAAUCAGAAAAUAUUGAUAGUAACAGUACAGUGCUUCAAUCGUCAGUAGAAAUUGUCAUCAGAGAACAAGAAGUACCACCCCAGGUUGGGCACUGAAAGAGCAGUAGAUAGAGAAAUUAUUGCAUGCACUAGGUGCAAGUGAACAAAGGCAAAUCCCCAAGCAUAUGCACGGUGGAUAGCGUGCAAUCUGGAAUUGGUGAAAUACAAAGGGUAGCAUGGCGUGUUAUCCACCGUAGGAUUUGAUGCGGUCCAAUUGCACCUGGUGCAUGCAAUACGGAGGCCAGUAGAUACAAAGAUGGUACCAUUCUUCUCUUUACAGCCCAUCAGAACUACGAUAUGAGAAUGUUGUCAACAUGCCAUGAUGCUUGCCUGGAAUUGUACCUCUUAAGGGCACUUGCUCUGAAUAUAUGAAAUCCCAUGCUCUUCAUAACUGUCAAACCACUUAUAUACAAGAAUUACCUCCGUAUGAUAGGUAGACAAGCUUCUCUGAAAAUAUGAUGGUUCCAAAAACCAUUUGGUGCUUGCAAGUAAUAACAGAAUGGAAGGUGAUACUUUUCUUUUAAAACAAAAAGAACAAAAAUAAAAACUCACUCUGAUUUGGAGAACCACAUUUGCUGAAAUGACCGAAGAGAUGCCAGAAUACUUCCUCCUACCCAAACGCUGUAAUGAUUAUUCAUACACACACAUUAUAUGAUGCAAACCAUAAUAACAGUGACAAACAACUAUUGGAUAAAGACCAUCACGUUUCUGAUGAGAAUCGCUAAACAUAUCUCCUGGAUGAACUUGUAUAUAAAUUAUCGGAUAAAUGCAGAUGCAUGACCUCCACUUGCCCCAAAAAAAUUCAUACAUCCUGCAUGCCUUUUCACACACACACACACAAAAAAAAAAAAAAAAACAAAAUGUAACCACAAACCACCAUGAAGUGAAGCAAGGUACAUUUGGGAUAUUCCUCAUCUCAACUAUGAAGCAUCAGAUACUGAGCCUACGGUUGGUGUGCGUUGAUGAUUGCUAGCUCUGGAUAAUGACUCUGAGAAAGUACCUUCUCCAAGAGUCGCAAGAAGUAAAAUUUAGUGGAGCUUAUAAAAGGUGCCAAUGUACAGUGGUGAUUCAUCACGCAUGUGUUGCACACAAACAAGACUUACAAUUAUUUAGAUUUGUUGAGCAUAUCAAAUGUCAGAUGACAUGUGCAAGUCAAACUAGUUAAACAUAAAUGUACUAAGCCAUGCAAAGCAUUCACCAACUAUCUAAUAAAACCAUUAAGAAAUAAUAUCAGACUACCAGUUCUUCGAAACAAAGUAAGAAGCAGGAGGGUUAAUGUUGUAGAAAAAGAAAAACCAGACAUUGUUUAGGUUUUUUAGAAUUGAACAUAAAGGUCUAUUUUAAGAUUUAAAAUGAAACUGAAGAGCAGGUUCAAUUCCUUGAUUUCAAUAAACUAAUGUGCUGAACAAGCAGGUCUUCUGCGCUAGUGGAUGGUGAACUUAUAAACCAGGACAAUACAGCAUGCGGCUUAAAAUACCGGAAGAUCAACAUGAUGGUCAAUGCACAAGAUAAAUAAAGGGUUUACCUUAAGUCAUGGUAGCAAUAAGUAGUUGUGGGAACUAAAAAUCAUAGGAGCAUUCAAAAGAUAGAGCAUCAUGGAGGAUAAGUGUUUAGAGCAAGUGCAGCAACUAUGGUUGAUGUCCAGAGGGAUUCCCCUCUCAUUCUUUGAUAAGUAUCUCUGGUUGAGAAGAUAGCAUAUUUUCCCCUUAGCAAAAUUCAAUUAUAGAGGUUCUUACAAUGCUCUAAGGGACAUUAACUUUUUCACAAAGUGUCUUGCACAAAUAGGUUGCUAUUUGCUACAAACAAAUGGAGGAUAUUGACAUUAACCAUCACAUCACCAUAAAAAUUCACUCUCUGAAACCCCACAUCCAAUCCAAUGCAAACUUUUUUGGGAAAUCUAUAUUUCAUAGCAACAUUUGCUUCAAUUAUCAGUUAGGCAAACUCUCAAACUAUGACCUGUAUUAGAUCUGGGAAAGUUAUGCACCAAUAUAAGUCGAUGCAGCUUCAAAACUCUAUAAUGCCAUCUACAAUAUUAGAAGCUUAAUUGUGCUUGAGGAAUUUAUACAAGCUGUUCCAACUUCCGAGCCCAUCCAACUCCAAAAUAGAUAUAUAGAUACAUGAGAUACACGCAUAUAAAGAACAGAUAAGCUCGAAAAAAAUAGAAGUAAAAUAGGCUGCAGCAGUUGUUAACUGUAUAUGCGACACUUUCACAGAAAAUGCGACACAAGUAAAUAAAUCAAAUGAUAUAUGAACUCAUGGUUUUCAACAGUAAACAAUAAAAUAUGACCUGAAUCGUCUUUCUAUUGCAUUCCCACUUGCCAAUACCUUAAUGCAUGCAGCUUGAGGAGCCUCCUGAAGGACAUAAUGCAAUGAAAAUCAGAAUGGUAAAUCCAAAUUGAAAUAAAAAGUCACCACCGCACACUAGAAGAUCCAAUUGUUCAUGAAAUCAGUUCUUUUUUCCUCCACUACCUCUACAAAUAUUGACCUUUGAAAGCUUAGCACACAAUCAAGAAAAGAAAAUGGCAGAAUACACAACAUAUGCAAAUAAUAAAAGCCAAAGACAAUUUAAGGUUCAGUCAACUUGAGUUAACUCAUCACAGAAGUAAUAAAUGUUUUUCAGAUUUGAGGAUAAAGAGAAAAUAGAAUAUUGUUAAACAAAAUAAAGAAAAUAUAUCAGAUUUUAAAAAGUUUUGCUCAUAUUUUUGCUAAUAUUUUUGAAGGCCAAGACAGAGCAAUUCUAAAAGGUGACUACAAGUUAAUUCCUUUGACAAUUGCAUGUUUUGUUAGUAACAAGAACAUAAAAUUCAAGAGAUGUGAUCGCUGGUGAAAUUCUACCUCCAUCAACUCUUUCUCAAGCCUCCUGAGUUGUUAGCUAUCAAGCUUCAGAGAUGGCUGAGACGUGGUUGAAUUGCGCACAUCAUGACAAGUAUUUGAGCUACUUUGUCGCAGGCAGCAGUGGAAGACCUUUUGAAGAACAUAACCAUCAUGUACAGCAGCAACAGUUGUGGAUCCGCGCCCACUGCAUUAGAAAACUGUUUCUUAGAGCUAGUCUUGUAUUUAAGCAAUAAAGAAAAUUCCAAUAGCAAAGAUAGGCAUCCACAAAACAACCACACCAGCUCAAAAAUAUUAUUCGAAACAUAAGUAGCAUAUCGACAACAUGUACAAGUUGCCAACAAUAGAAAGCCAGAAAUGAUAACCAUGAAGUACAAUUUGGAUGUUUUUCAUAACCGUGUUUUAUUAAGAACUAGAAGAUAUGACAGUUAGGCAGCAAAAAAAAAAGUUUAAUUUUUCUUAAUAAUGGUUAUAAAUCCAGAAAAUAGCAUAAGAAUUUUAAGAGGAUAGGAUGCAUUGGCCAAAAUCAGUUCAUGUCACUUCUCAUCAAUUAAGACAAGGCUUCAGUUAUCCAUUGAGAUUUCGAAGAUCAAACAUUAUAUCCAACAAUUUCAAUAAACUGGAAAUAAGCUUCUAUAAUUUUGAUCAGAAUGCCACCACUGCUCUAAUGACCAAGUAGCAGCAGAUUACUUGAUUUGAUGCUUAUCCCACAGCAACAUCCAGGAAGGGUCAAGCAUAGAGAAUAUACUACUGUUCAUUGGUGAAUAUAUGCUAUGGAUGAGUCAGUGUCACAUGAUUCAACACCAACAUUUACCAAAAUAUGCAACCAAAUUAUUUACCAAGAAUGCUGCAUAAAACACUUAAGCUGCAGCCAAGACAUGGAUUUAGAAUGAAUGGUAUGUGUCUCAUUAUACAGCUGCUUUUACAUGGCAUAAUUUUUCAAUUACCUAUUAGGAGACCUUUGUAGAUAAGGAGAGCAAGCAUUUUAAAACAAGAAAAGCCAAAGUGAAAGUUUUAUAUAAUGAAAGAACAGAAACUUGUGAUAAGAAAUAAAAUUACAAGACUUGGGGAAAAUAAUAGCUGACUACAUUAAAUCUAAAAUUGCACUCAAGUGUCGAUGCAUGUGAAUAUGGCUCCUGACAUAGAAAAUGUUGAUGAAAGGAGAGCAUGAAAGAAUUUCAGCAAGCAUGGAGAUCAAACCUAUCAACAACCAGAGAUGUAGCUUGCCCAGAUGCAAAAGAUGUGAGAACUUGGGAGUCAAAGAUAGUAUAGUCCAACAACCAUUGUUAAUAUAGUCAAACAACCAUGGUCAUAUGCUAACCAGUAGGAGAAAACUUGAAGCCUACAAAAUGCUUUAAUAAACAUGUCAAGUGUCUAAAUGAAGAAUGGACUGAUAGCAUACAGCAUUUGUUGCUAAAAAUAAAGCUGGAACUUCGUAAUCCUCAAACAUGAGCUCUGCUGCCCUGUUAUACAUUAAAUGAAAAGGUUUCAGUCAUGCAUAUCCAGCACCUUGACAAAAAUACAGAAAUAACAAAUCUCAGUCCCAUGUGAAUUAUAGAUCAUAAGGAACCAGAUCACCUUUCUCUUUGUUGUGGAGUAUUACAAGAUGGCUCUGCAAGCAGCAUUGGAUGUUCUUUGGGAUCAAUUAAUAACUGCUCCCUGUGAAACACAAUGCAGUCAUCAUAAUCAUUUUUCACAUAGUUAUCUCAAACCAAAUUGCUUCUCUAGUCGGUGUGUUUGGGAAGAUCCUUCACAGAACUGACAUGGUGGUUAAUUAGUUGUGAUAUGAUCCAUGCUUAAGGCAUAAGCUCCAUUUCAGAUACUAUUGGGUGUAACAAUGAGUCUGAAACCAGCAAACACAUCUGAGCUAUCCACCAAUAAGUAAAUUGGAUGCUCGGUUCCUUUCCACUAAAUCUAAACAAUAAGAUCACAGGGGGGAAAGCUUUUCUUACUAAAACUGGGAGGAGGAAGGUGCAGGGGAUGGGGAUUAGGUCCUUUGCAUACUAAUAUACAUAAAGGUAAGCAAACUCAGUCAGCAGUACAUGCCUAAGCUAGUGUAUUGGACAUCAUGCUGGGGAGGGGGAUUAGGUUCUUUGCAUACUAAUAUGCAUAAAGGUAAACAAACUCAGUCAGCAGCAUGUGCCUACUAUAGUGUAUUGGACAUCAUGUAUCUGUGUAGGGUACUGAUAAGACUGGCCAACAGCAGUUACAAAUUCCAGAUAACAGCAGUUACAAAUUGCAAACAGCAAACAUCACUACUUGCAACCAUUUGACCAAGAGAGUAAAUAAAUCUAAUAUAUCAGAUAAUAGGUUUCAAAGAUAAUAAUUAUAAAGCAUGGAUUACAAUAUAACGACAACAAUAAGAGGCCACUAAACCAUAUAGAUGUGCAAAAUUCUCCACCCUUUUGACUUACUGUAAAACAUUCAGCAGCUUACCUUGAUGCGUGCACAGCAGAAUGAAUAAAGUGAGACAAAAUCUGCAUGGUAAUAAUGCUGAUAGGUGGCGCCAUGAAUGAUAAAGAUAUUGUUGUAUAUAAAAGAUGGCAUAUAGCAAUAUGCAUUUAAAUGCUAAAAUGCAGCCGCUUGCAGUGGCUGUUCUUCACAACAUGGAACGAUCGGGUAUUUAACACCAAGGUAAGGACACAAUCAUCCAUGAAGGACAUCUAUCACACUUUGUUAUUGUACAAUACCCUAAUGAAAAUUAUUCCAGUGCAUUGUAUGAUGCACCAAACUUAUAAAAAGUGUGGGCUAAUGUAAAAAGUUAUGGAUUGCAAGCUCAUAACAUCUGUUUCUGAUGUAAGAUGAAGCACAGAAAAUGAAAGACAAAAGAGAGAAAAAAAAAAUAGCUCUCAUCUUUGACAUCAUAGACGCUAGCUAGACCAGCACGAGACACAGCUCAUACCUAAAAGCAUGAUUCCAUAUAUUGUCAACAAUAUCCCAAUCAACAACAACUCCAUCUUUUAUAGGUGAUUCCACCUAAUCAAUGUUAAUAAACAUUACUGUCAUAGGAAAACUAACAAAAUUUUGCAAAUAAAUCAAAUUUCAUCAAUCUUUGGAAGGUACAGAAGUGCAAGCAUAAGCCUCUUAGCUGGCUGACCUCCAUACGGUCACAUCUAUAUCCCAAGGCUUGAGAACCAACAUACAACUUCCGUUUUGCCUUGGGUUUAUCUGAAUCAGGUGGCUCGACACCAUUUUUUGAAUCUGAUGUAGGUUCAGAAUCCUUCUCAGACUUGACACCAUUGUUAUCUUCUACUUGAUCAAUUGAGCCAACUACCUAACAGUGCAGAGCAUUUAUCAAAACAAAGCAUGGGCCAGAUUUCCAAACAUCAAAUCAGACACAAUUAUAUUAUCAUAUUCUUUGUCAUAAGUAAAAAUAUUUAUUUAUCCAGAUUGAAUUGUUAUCCUAAAAAAAAUAUUUUUUAAAAAAUGUAAAACAGGUUAAUAUCGUUGUACUGCAGAAAUUAUGUUUCUUUCUUCUUCUUCUUCUUCUUGAGGAAAACCAAAUAAUUCAUCAUCAUUGAUGCCAAAAAUACAUUAAUCCAAGUAAGGUAGCAAAGCAAUGAAGAUCAGGAAAAUAAUAUUGAGUUGCCAAAGUAUAACUUGUGAAUGUGAAUUGAAUGUAAUCUGAAGGAUAUAAUGAUGCAUAACAAUUAUCUCUUUUGCAUCAAAUGGAUAGUCCCAAGGAAUAGUAAUCUUAAUCAAUAUUAGUUUUGUAGACCUUUUCAAAACAACUAACCUUGCAUGAGAUUUAUCUCUAGACACCACAGUUUCCAGAGUACAUUAAUAAUUAAUUUUGAAGACCCAAAGGAAGAGAUAAAUAGGAACUUGAACUUCACCGUUUUCUCAACUGACACAUCACCAAACUAUGCCAACGAACAAAAAAUGAUCGCAAGUGGCCUUCCAAAGAGCAAAAAGUAUAAAACGUGACAACAUUGUACCAGAAUUUAAAAUUGCGGCAAAAAUAUACACAAUGUAUCGCACUUCAAGAAAUACUUCCUGAGGGAAACACUGCCCUGGGAACAUCUUCGCCGGCAUAACCAGCUUUGCAAGUGUGAGAACCCAAAUCGAUAACUACGGCCGAGACUUCAUCUGAGCAUGUACAUCAGACAAAAUCACUACCAACUGGUUGCCAUCUUUCUAGGGUUAGCCAAGAGAUAAACGGAAAAGAAGCUGGUGAGAGAUCGAAGUAGCUGAAAUAGAACUCACCGCCACCGUCCAUGAUGACGAACUCGAGGGAGAUCUCGGAACGUAAAACCAGCUCAGAGAAGGGUUCGCCGUGGGUGGUGGAGAAAGCGGGGCUCGAAUAGACCGUGGAUGCGGGGGAGGGUCGAGGGGGAGGAAGGAGAGACUCGCCAGAGAACGGGGAUGGGUUUGAUGUCGAGGACGGGAGGGAACCGGGAACAAGGCUUCAGAAGCGUUUGUACGUAUUUUCUCGUAAACACAAAAAGAGGGUUUACACACGCUUGGGCGAACUUUCGAGUCGUAGCCCACCAAGCGGAGGAAGUCAAGGGUGACAAAAUAUCAUCUCAUCCGCCAAUUUGAUUCGUGAUCCAUCAAUCAUAAAUAAAUUUAAAUUUAAACUAAAUAAAAUUUGAUCAAUAAUCCAUUCAAUUUAUUUAAUAAAUAAAUUAAAUUUAAAUUUUAAAUAAUUAUUUAAUUUAUUUAAUUUAUUUAAUUUUUGAAUCAAAUUAGUUGGUAUAUUAUCGAUAGGACCGUCUAAAUAGAUCGGAUGAUGGGCUAAUGGGAACCUUAAAAAAAAAAAAAAAAGCAUGAUUUUUUUUUUGUUGCUUUGAUCCCACGAUCAAAUCCAAUGGUAGAAGACACUCCACGCUACUUGUUGUAUUUCAUCGAUUUCCUACUAUUAUUCAAAAUUUCAAACCCCACUAGGGCUCUUCCCCUCCCUUUCUUCUUUUGCACCGCUGCUAUUUCGAAGACAAUGUCAAUUGAUGGCCGAUGGUUGCUAAUCGUGACAUAGAUGAUCGGAUGGAGAUUGAGGGAGGUGUGGGAGCGUUGAUAUGUAAGCUCGAGAUGAUCGAGCGCAGGGAGGUGGAGACGUCCGACAAGUGAGACAACGACGACAUGGGCAAAAGCACUGAUGCCACCAGUGAGUCACCAGAUCUUUUGACUGAAUCCAUGGUAAGAAACGUUGUCGGUGAAUUUUCUAGAUGGAAAAGGAGCACAGAAAACUACGACAACUGUGAUCACCAUAUCUCCUUCGACCGGAGCCACGGUGAGGAGCACUGUCAGAAGAUUUUCUAUACAUAAGAGGAGAGGAGAUGCAGAUAAGUAUGGUCGAAUGAAGUAGAUGAGGCCUGUGAGGGUGAAGAUGUGGAGGGACGGUCGGGUGGAGUAGCAGUUUUUCUUUUCUUUUUUUAUGGUUAGAUAGAGUAGGUUUUUUUUCUUUAUUUUUUUUUUAAACAGAUUGUAAACAAGUCGGAUCGUAUAAUCUUUUUAUUAAAUAGGUCGAGUUCGGAUUUUAAAAUCUGACAUGUUUAAUAAAUAAAUCGGAUCUCCGUUCAGAGUUUUUUAAUUCAAUCCGUAUAUGAUCCGAUUUGUUUAUAUUCGAUCUGAUCUGAUUGCCACCUCUAGAAAAAAUAUUGUGUGAACCGAUGAAACCCUGGGAGCAUAUGCACGGUGGAUCACGCGCAAUCGAGAAUUGGGGAAAUUCAACGGGUAAUGUGGCGUGUUAUGCACCAUGGGAUUCAGCGCGGUCCACUAGAUCAGAUCCAAGUAAUAUCCACAUUUAUUAAACUUCUAUUUUUUGUUCACGGUAAAUUAUUUUCUGCGUAUUAUAUAACGUGGAUGAGAGAGAUUAUGUAAAUAGAGACAUGGUCGGGCCCUUGACGAAGAGGACCAGGAUUUCUGUAAUAAAAUAUAACAAAAUUAUAUAGCGUUAUCCAAGCAUCAUCCACUUGUUGAGAGCCAAACACCAUGGGCCAAAGGUGCGUUUGGAUAACUGCAACUAGUUUAAAUGAAUGACCCAUUUCUGGUAUUACUGCUAUAACUUCACCAAAAUUAUGUUAGGCAAACAACAUUUGGAGUCUAUUUUGAUACAACUAAAAGACUUUUAAAGAUAUCUUUGUGAUGACUUUAAGUCCACCAAUUGAUAAAGAUAUAAUUAAUAUUAUUUUAAUAGUACAAUAAAUUGUAUUUAUAAUCACUUGGACAAAUAAAUAUGAAAUUUUAUUUUAUUGCAGCUCUAAAUCUGCAGCACUAAAAACCGAAAAUGUAAUUGCAAAAAGAAUGACCACGGCCACCACAACUUCAAAUGCAUGCAUCUUUCACUAGCUCGUUGUUGUCACGUCUCUUUUGUAUUAUUUUAAUGAGACUGCAAUCUAAACUAACUGGCACUGUCCCAUGGCUUUGCUUGUCAUUAUUAUUCAUAAACCUAAGUUAUGGCUAUGAUUGGUUUCAUCCAAUUAAAAACAAUCAUAGUAAACCAUUAUCCAGCAUAUUAAUCAUUGUUGCCCCUGUGCUAUAGCUAUAAAGCAAAUUAAUCCAUGUAUUUUCAUUAUAUUUCAAUCUAUUCAACAUGAUCGAGUGGUCAAAUAAAUGUAGCUAGAUAUUACAAGAUGUCUCGAUUAGAUUAACAAAUUAGUCAAUUUAUCAAACUACCUUAACUAAGUCAGGAAGUUUCUCAAGGCCACCGCUGUUAUCCCUAUAAUUUGCGAUAAUUGGCUUAUCAGAAUAUAUCUUGAAAAAUUAAAGAAUUCAAAAAAAUUAUUUUUUAUAUAGUAAGAAUACUAAUAUAUUAUUAAAAAAAUCCAAAUAAAUUUAACUUAUUUUUUAUAAUUAAUAAAUAUUUAUUUUUAAAAAUUUUAUAGAUAGCAAUUAUACCAACCUAUCAAUCCAAUUCAUGACUGAUCCACUUUAAAUAGGUUAAAAUCUGACGUAAAUAGAUUUAGAUUAUAAACGGCCAAUACAUCUAUUUGUUAAAUACAACAGAUUCUGAUUUAGGUAUUUUAAUCAUUAAAUUUGUUUCAUAUAUAAUAAUUGGGUUGGAUCAUGAUUUAACUCAUUUAACCAUUCCCAUCCGUACAUGUGGGGCUCCAAACUAUCUCGAGGUUGCAUCAAUUGUUUCUUGUCAUCUGUCGUCAAAAAGUUUCUGUGGUGCGUAAAAAGGUUUUCUAGUCUCUCAGCACUAUUUUUCAAUAAAAAAUAAAAAUAAAAACAUAAGCUCCUCAGGAUCAGGGUUUAUUUUCUAAAACUCGAUCUAUUUUAAAUAACAUUGAUCAAAAGAAUCUCUGCCAUCCAUCAAACCAUCUCCUGUCGAGUCUCGCCAAUAAACCCACGUGGCAUCAAAGACCAUUACGUGCGCCAUCGCCUUUGGCGGAAUAGCAAACAAAAACCCCAUCCUGCUGCCCGUUCGGGUUUUCUUGCGCAAGGGUUCUCUUCUCCUCUCGCAGGUAGCCCGGUCUCCUCCCCUCGGCAGCAGUUCUUUCUCGUCGAUCGCUCCACUCACAGAGUCGAUCAUUGAGCGAUGGGAGACUCUCAAUACUCCUUCUCGCUAACCACCUUCAGGUACUCACCGUUCCUUCCACUUCCUUCCUACCUUCUCCCAAACCCUCGAAUCCCCAGAUCCUAACUCCUGUUUCUUGAUUCAGCCCUUCGGGGAAGCUGGUGCAGAUCGAGCACGCUCUGACGGCCGUCGGAUCCGGCCAAACAUCUCUUGGAAUCAAGGGUAAUCUUUUCCUCUUUGGAUGAAUUCACCCCCUUUCUUUUGAUCACACCAGCUGGGGUAGAUCGGUGUUUGCGCUGCUGUUCUUCUUGAACAAACGAUUUUUAUGGACUAUUGGAUAUAAAAUAGCCUUGGCCAACGAUUUUUUUUGGCCUAUGAUAGUUUAGUCUCCAAGCAUUGGGUUAAAGUGAAUGUGAGUUGUUUGGUUUUGGCCGUCUAGGUUUGGUAAGUUUUGCACCCAAGCAAACUGUCAAGAAAGAGCCUUAGUUUGCGUUACAUGGAGCGUGCCAACUACUGGACUAGGGUUCUUUCUGACUUGAUUUUUUCUAUUCUGGGCAUAAGGAAAAUCUCUCUCUCUCUCNNNNNNNNNNNNNNNNNNNNCGAUAAGGAAAAGUACUACUCUCUCUCUCUCUCUCUCUCUCUCUCUCUCUCACACACACACACACACACACACACACACACAGAAUGCUGACCUGAAUUUUCAUAGCUAAGAAUUAUCGCAAUUUUGGCUUGCUCAGAUAUUUCAAAUUUUGACGAGGAUUUAUCUUAUUCUCGUUUAUUUUAUUGCUAUCUAGAUUGUAGCCUCCUAAUUUCUUCUUUGCAGACUUUUCUUCUUGGGGAUAUAUGCCAUAACAGAACAUGUAAAUUUUGAUAGCAGAUAUCGUCACUUAUCCACAUUUGUUUCUUGUUUUCCUAAAUCAAUCUUUAAAAAAAAAAAAAUCUGUUUCUUUAAUUACCAGAUAAGUUCAUAACCCUUUAUAUAGACCCAAUAAACCUGACGCUUGUCCAGAACCAAACAACAUCUGAGAUAGUUUGACAGUUAGACUGAAGGGUCAUGUUAUUUCCUCUUGAUUGUUUUCUGAACACGCCAUGUCAUGCCAUUGACAUUAAUUAUUCUUCUUAUGUCGUUGUUUGAGGGGCUUAGGUAUUGGCGCAGGAAUACUAUCAAUUGUUCUAGUUGGACGUUUCCUUCCCAAAAAUGGGUGAACAGUUCUGAGUUUUUGAUGUGAAGGAAUUUUGAGUUUCAUUAGUUCACAAGAAGCAGGUUUAGAUUCUUUAGUUAUACUUGAUGGAAGUGAUGUUGCUUAUAUAAUUAGAUGUUAAAUUGAUUGAGGUGAUGCAGUGUUGGAAUCCUAGUGACUGGUCAAAACUAAAAGUUAACUAGUUGUUAAGCAUGAUUUAUGCAAUUCCUCAUAUUUUCCUCACAUGUCUGUUAUCUUAGAUUUUCUUAUACACAAAAUCUAAAGUUAUCAUAUUUGUAUUGGUGGUGAUUGCAGCUGCCAAUGGAGUUGUUAUUGCAACUGAGAAGAAAUUGCCUUCCAUCUUGGUGGAUGAGACAUCUGUAAGCACACAUCACUUCCACCUCUGGAAAUACUUUUGUUGUCCUCAUGUGAUUGUAGCAAAGUUCACUUCAUUUGAUAUUUUCUCCAUCCCAAGCUGUUUUACCCUAGAUGGUUUUAACCUUUCUUUAUUGGGAAGACAGUAAUUUUCAUGUUUCAACAUGUUUAACUUUUUUAUGCAUCCUUUUGGUUUGUAUAUUUGCUAACUUGCUUUCUAGUGAAAGUAAAAAGUAAAAACUGAAAAGCAAUGGAUUCACUUUGGUUGAUUGUUUGUUGCGUGGUGGACUUGCAUCAUGAUUUUAAAUUUUGGACCUCAUCAUGAAGAGUCAUUUUAUGACUGCCUGCAAACUUAAGUUCCUAUAACUGGGGAACCACCUUCAGACUCAUGCAUGACUUAUUAAUGAGCCUUAGGGCAUUUGAGUAGGCCAGCCCGAAGAUGUGCAGGUCUCCCUGGAGCAUCUCUUAGAGGUCUGUGUUAGUGAGACUAAGAUACCUCGGUAUCCUUAGUCUUUUGCCAUUGCUUUCUGUUUUAUGCCACCUUGCUCUCCAAUGACACCCUUAUUUUCUUAACACCCUCUUCUAUGACAUCUAUAAGGGUCAAAUGCUCACCAGCUGGUGAAGGUAAUGCUUGCUGGCUGUACUUUUGGCCAAGCUCAAGAGCUGUUUGGGCAGUUUGAAAGUUUAAGGACUCUAAUUAGUCUGAGAAUGUUUAGUUUCCCAUUGAAAUGGUUGGUUGGCUCUAGGACCUUUGGUUUUGGGGGCAUGCAAGUCAACACAUGCUUUUCUGUAGAUGCAAGAGGUACAUGAUUUGGAUGCUUCUCUACGUUCAAUUUCGUUUCUAAAAUUUUCUUGUCUAAGUGAUAAUGACUGGAAGUAGUAAUACAGAUAUCAACAUAUUUUUUCCUUUGAGUCUGUCAAGUAAUGCUUGACGAAUUAAUAUGGGUAGUCUAGUUAUAUGGGAUCUACUAUGUUUGGUUGAAGCCUUGUUUUUACACUUCCUUUCAGAAUUAAAUAUUUUGUUGACUAAUGAAGGAUGUGCUUCGAAGCUUUUUGUUUUUGUUGAGACAAGUCUCCUCACAUCUGCUUAAAUUGGUAUAUUUUUUUAUUAGCUUCUGAUUACAACAUCUGGCGAUUUUCCUUCUUUUUAUUUUCUUUCUAUCAUUCACGUUUCCUUGCAGAGUUGCAGUUAAACCUUCAGCUUUAUCAAUAAGCUCUUUAUGUUUGCUUUUUCUUUGGAACAUGGAAGCUUGAUUUAAACUUGUUUGACUGUAGGUGCAAAAGAUUCAGCUGAUGACAACGAACAUUGGUGUUGUUUACAGGUAUUAUGUGCCACUUAUGAUGUUCAUUCCUUUGUUUAUUUAAGUUGCUUAUCUUUUGUUUAGGAUAUUAAAUAUUAUGUAACGUCCAAACUGAUUCUGAACUUUGAUUCUAUACAUGAUGUUAUCAUGGAAUUUCUUGUAUGAUAACUGUUUAUAGACUCCUUUAGCAUGCUUCCAGAUAUAUAGUCAUCAUGUCCCAUGGUGAUAGUUGUAGUAAUUGUUAAUUUUAUAAAUAAUAAAAGCCGUUGAAUCAAUAAAUGUUUUUGAAAAAGGUGCAUGUCAGAAACUUUGUUAGUGGUUUUUCCUUCUAAAUUGCGCAUCAGUGACAUUACACGAGCCUAGUAAAGCGAAUGCAAACUAGUCCAUUGGUGCGAUGCCGUGAUGAAAUUCACAUGAUUUGUUAAUUUGACACCUGCAGAAUGCUGACAUCUCUUCCCUUGAGAUUUGAAACGGGGGAUUCCUUGAUCACCUUUAUAUAUGCUAUUGCUCAUAACAUUCUAUUGCUAAGUAUUUGUGAGCUUUUUUUCAGAAUCACCUUGUCUAUUAGAUGCCAUCAUUAAUUUUAUUUUCUUCUCUCAAUUGUUUGUCUAUUUCUAUGCAGUGGAAUGGGCCCAGAUUCCCGUGUUCUUGUGAGAAAAAGCAGAAAGCAAGCACAACAGUAUUACCGACUCUAUAAGGUCUGGUCAGCUAAAAGUUAUUCUAUUUACGUAGCACCAAGAUUUGUCCAACUACUUCCAUUAUGGUUUUUCCUCCCUCCGAUUCAUGAACAUUCUGCAUUUUAUUUAUUUAUUUAUUUAUUUGCACUACACAUAGUAGUAGCAUAUUUAUCACUAAACCCCUCAAAAGCAUAUUUUAUAUGCUGCUUACCAGAAAACAAAAAAAAGCGUAUAUUAUAUGUUUUAUACUACUCAUUUGAGAAAUAGUUUCCCUGAACACAGACGUUGUUUCAAUUUACACUUCGGCAAACAAAUAGAUUGAAAGGCAAUCAGUCAACGGAGACUCGUGCUUCAUUUUGCUUGCUGUCUGAUGGGAAAAAAAUUACUAUUUUUUAAUGGAUGCAUGACAGGGAGGACCUGUCUGUACGAAGCUUCUUUGUUAUUUAUUGUCCUUUCCGGACUUUUGUUGAAUGCCAAUAAUUCUGCAUUUGUCCUUGCUUUAUAUUGUUAUUUCAUGCUUUCUGAUAGUUGCUGUGAAUUCAUGAUCUCAGGAGCCUAUACCAGUUACCCAACUUGUUAGGGAAACUGCAGCUGUUAUGCAGGAGUUCACUCAAUCUGGGUAUGUUAUUUUUUGAGUUGCUUAGCCAAAGGAUACAUAUCAGAAUUUCCAAUUCUUAGCAAAUGAUAACAAGCCUAUUUGUUUGUCAAAGAUGAUUUUUUUCCAUAGAUGUAUAUUUGCAACUAAAUUAUGGACCUUAUCUCCUCCUUUGUUGACAAUGACAUAUGAAUCAACUAUUAACCCAAUAUUUCACAUUUUAAAGCUGCACCGGAACUGGCUAUUGGCCUUUCCUUUAUCACCUUAAUUUUUAAUUAUAGUCUAUACCUAUCAGUCCUCUGUGGCAAAGUCUUUUUUUUGUUUUGUUUUGUUUUGGUUGGGGGGGGGGGGUCAUAUUACCUCUAUCAAAAACACUAUGAGAUUCACUGUAUGUGGUAAUUGAAUGAUUCCUCUUUAUUCUGAUUCACCAAUGUCGUAUGUCAAAUCUUCUACCAGGUCAAUUAAACUUGUUGACUUGUUCUUUGAAAAUGCAUGAAACUUCAGUUAAUUUUUGCUUUUAGAUGUUGACUUAUUCGUUGCAAAUGCGUGAAAGCAAAGUUGAACUUUAGUUAACUUUUUGUUUUAGAUGUAGUUUCCUUUUUCCAUCUUGAUUAGAUUCCCUCCAAGACUUUGGUAACCUUCUUCAGCUUCCUCAUAAUUCUGAAGCUUAUUUUGCAUGUUAGUAUCCAUACUUGUUGACUGCCUUCUAUGUGUCAUGGCUGGUCCCUCUUUUAUUUAUAAUUUGCCAUAACCGGUGUUGCAUGAACAUGGGCACGAGAAUCGGAUUUGAGCGCAUGUCCAGAUGUUGUACUUGGCAAGAGGAGAAAAAAGAGAUACAAUGAUAUGUAGAAAAGUAAUUUUAACUAGCAUAUAUAUACAUAAAAUUAUGUACAUACAUAUGUGUACAUACAGACGCACAUGCAUACAUACAUAUAUAGAGUAUCAUGUAAAAGAAAUAUCAAAAAACAUUAGUUGUUAAAAAUUCCAAUCAGCUUAAGGAUCUUAGACCAGUUACAGUUUACAAAAUUAUUUUAACAACUGCAUCCUUAACCAAUCUUUGAAAUGCUCAUUUUGAACAUCAUUAUAGCGGAUUGAACUGAUUGUUGGAGGAAUUAACUCCACCAAUUUUCACAAACUGUAAUUAGUAAAUAUUAACAAGUAUCCAAGUAUUUGACACAUAUCCAACUUGGGUAUGUAUCUGGCAUGGAUUCUAGGAGCUGGAUGUUGGUGUCCAGGUAACACAGGAUAUAAUCAGGAUUCUAUAAAUGGCUGCUGUCAGGUUGAGAGCCAAUGGUCUAUGCUCUCAAACUCGGAUAAAUCACAGAAAAUUCAUAUAGCCAAUGCCACCUGUAUGGAUAGGUAUUACAUGUAUGUAACAAAAACCAAGCUUUCCUUGCCAUAAGUUCCAAAUGGGCAUGUUUAAGUCUCACACUCCAACUUUAGGUGCACAAUCAGAUAUGCCAGCUUGAAACUCUGAUUGUCUGGUUAUUGCAAAGAAGGCCAUAUGAUAAUUCUUAUAAUUCAUGCUUUCUUUUCUUUUCCCUUUCUUUAACCCCUGCAGUGGUGUAAGGCCAUUUGGAGUUUCGUUGCUUGUUGCUGGAUAUGAUGACAAUGGUCCACAGCUGUAUCAGGUAUUUUGGCAUUUUACCCUUCCUUUUUUUUAACUUGUUUCACCAUCAGUAGGGGGUUCUGAGAUUAGUGCAUGAUAUUUCUAAUAAUUUCUUUCAGGUGCAUUGCCUGUUGUUAGGAUCCAUCAAUGUAACAUAUUUUUUUUCCUAUAGUAAUAUGUAUGUACAUCUUAAAUUGACGAUUUGUCGCAUGAAUUGAUCUUAAUCUGCAUCUGGUUCUUUUUUAAUAGGUACAUGCAAGUCAUGUAGCUUCUCGCAUUCAUUUGUUUUUUCUCACCUUUUUAUGUGUACUGUUAUUAACAUGAUGUGACAAUUCAAAUCUUAUUUUUUCUUAUUUCUUUGAACCUUGUUUUCUAGGUUGACCCAUCAGGUUCUUACUUUGCUUGGAAAGCAUCUGCGAUGGGGAAAAACGUUUCCAAUGCAAAGACAUUUCUUGAAAAGAGGUACCUAGUGCUGGCUGAUUCAUCCAUAAUCCCCUUUAGAGCUAUAGACAACCUCCAUCACCACUUUCUUAGAAAACCUUAAUUCAUCUCUGAAAUUCUUUGUUUGUUGUCAUGCUUUCUCCUUGCUUGAGGAAUACCUGGCCGUUGCAAGCAUCUGCUUUUAUUCCUUGAUCACAAGUUGAAACCUUUCUUCUUAUUAUAGGUAUACUGAUGAUAUGGAGCUUGAUGAUGCUGUCCAUACUGCCAUUUUGACUCUUAAAGAAGGGUAUUUUCAUAUGCUUCAUUGGAAACAUUUUUCAUUCAUUAAAUACCUUGUUCUUCUGUGAUGCUAAUGAAUUAUAUUGCAAAAUGUGUAGGUUUGAAGGUCAAAUUUCAGGAAAGAACAUUGAAAUUGGAAUUAUUGGUGCUGACCGUAAAUUCAGGUAUGCUUAUUCAACUUCUGUUUGACAAAUGGUUGUUCAAGUGUUUCAAUGUUUUAAGUGAUGUUAUCGGUUUAUCAUGUCUAAUGCAUAGAAUUGCAGUGUUCGUAUUGUUUAACCAAGUAAAAUGUGUUCAUCUUAUUUUUGUGCAUCUUUUGGUAUGGAUGUACUGGUUAGGCUACAUCAAUCUAAUUUAGUGCCAGUAGAGUUACAGAAAAGUUAGGCGGUGCCAUGAGGCGCUUGCUUGUAUGAUAUUACCUCUUGCCCGUUGGAUAAGAGGAUGGGGGUUUGAUACUAAUUCAUGUCGAGUGCUCGCUUCUGCCCUGUGGGAUGGGGUUCGUUUAAAAAGUGGGGAUUUAGCUCCUCCAGGUCUCUAAAAAGAAGAAGAAGAAGAAAAUGGAGAAGUUUUGGCAUUUAUGAUGCCUAUUAGAAAUGCCUCCAUACCCUCUUUUACUGUCAGAAUUUACGUGUAAAAGUACUGUUAUAAACAUAGCACUUGUGCAUUUGAAGUUCAUCAAGCCUUGGCCAAAGCUAUGUUUGGAUGCUGGAAGAGCAAGGAAAAGCUAUAAAUUGGGUGGAGUGUGCCCAGAUCGGCUGAUUCUCACUCAGUUGCUUUUUCGGUUCAUCAGUUAGUGACAAACAUAGCAUAAAUAAAUUUUGUAAGAGAAAUGCAUCUUGACGGUAAUAUUAUGCAUAGCUACUAAUCAACAAAAGUUGUGAUUGAUGUAUGGGGAGGCAGUAAGCAUCUGGACCAAAGGGUGGUCAUACCUUGCUGCAUGCAAAAAGGAAUGAACGUGCUGCAGGGUGGUAGUGUUUCUAUGUUCUUAUAAUUGAUGUCUUACUCAUUAUAUUUCAUUUUAUGCUGCAGAGUACUUACUCCAGCUGAGAUUGAUGAUUACCUGGCGGAAGUGGAGUGAUUUUGUCAAAUCCUGUAUCCAGCUGAGGAUAUUGAAUUGUUUUGAUGUGUACAAUUUUUUUAAACAUUCAAGUUUGUGACUUCGGGUUUCAUCCAUUGCGCUCCAAAUUUCUCUAAGUUGUAAUGGUUUCGUUACUUGAUACUGCACAACUGAAGUUAUAACCUGCAGAAGGACUUGCCUAAAAUAUCUUACCAUGCUGGGUAUGUGUUCGAUUGAAGAAGGGUUAUCGGUAUCAUAAGUUUUAUAUCUGUUGUGCCAUAUGACAAGUGGGGCAUAUGUGAAAGGACGUGCAAAGCAUGUCAUACUCUCAGACAAGGUCGUCUAGUGAGGGUUAGAUAUGCGCAGCUUUAUUCUACGCGAAAAGAAUGUUUUCAUGCUUCAAAUCUAUGACCCCCAGGAUAUAACGGAGUAAUCUUAUAAUCAAGGUUUAUUCUUGAAGUAUGUGACAUUCUAGUCUUCUAUAAUCCCUUGUUGUGUUGGGGAUUUAUUUUAACGUCUUGAUGACAGGUGUAAUGGGAUGCUGAUAUGUGAGAGGAGUGUUUUUUUUAAUUAUUUUAGUAUCAGGAAGGAAGCUAAGUUGGCCUCUCAUCUCAAAUUUAUAAAAUACAGGGUAGAAAUGGGUUAUACCAGAGAAGCAGAAAUUGGGAAGAGUUAAUAGGAGGCAGAUGCUAUUCGUUGCAAAAAGAAUAAUUCCAUCAACCUUUGAUGGAGGUUGGUGGUGGGGCAUCUUCUUCCAGGUGGAUAGGCGGUCCUGGAAUGAUCCAAAGAAAGUCUGAGCAAGACAGCAUGGUAGUUGGAGGAGCAGGACCCACAGCAUGGUACUUGGAGGAGCAGGACCCACGGAAAAGACGGAAAAUAUCAUAUAGCAUCAGGGCUAGUUUCAGUUCGGGGUGGGCUAUUGGCUUUCUUAGCAUUCCGGUCCCUACAAAAUGGAGGCAAAAAGUGUUAUAUAGAAAAUUUGCAUUGUGUUUGCAUUUGAUCUGAUAUCUAGCAUAUAUUGAUUAUAAGCGCACUACAUGUGAAUCAUGAGGAGUGGAUUUUGAUUAACAUGCAAUCUGAAUCUGAAACCCAACAAAGUUAUUCCAGGUUCGGUGUUCCUAUAAAUUUAAUUAGGUCCUCUCCAUUGUAGCCAUGGUCGCACCUGUUCUGGCUAUUUGGUUUGACAAAAGACAGGAAAUAAAAAGUGACAACUCUUUCUGAGGGAAUCAUAUAUCUCAUAUCCUUACUUUCACAGGACAGCAUGGCAGGCAGUCUUGCACUGCUUUUAUCAUGCAUCACAAGCUAUCAAUAAUUAUGAGCACUAAAACAUGAUGUCCUCCUGACCAUUCAUAAUGUUGUUAUAACGAAUUCUAUGCAUAAAUCAAGUGUUACAAAGAAGCUUGCGUGAAUACCGACACCACCGGUCGAAUGACCUCGAGAGGUUGGGCCAAUCAGAGUCGGAUGCAGAAAAGUCCUCAAGCCAGUUGCGGAGGAUGAUCUCCUGGUCGUCCCACGGCAGGCCGGCGAUGAGGUCUUCGAUCACCCUCUCCAUCUCCCACUUUUCCAUCCCCGAUAGCACCGGGCUUGUCACCCCGUGGCUAGCGUAGCAUAGCAGGGGUAGCCACAACGCCAGUAUCCCAAACGUCACCUCCCUCGCUGCCUCCCACUCCCCACGUGCCAGCUCUCGGAGUAACAAAACUGCAAUCAUGGACCCACCCAAUCUUGUGUAAGCAGCUCAAAAUUGGAGGGUUCUUGCAUUUUAUAACCCCCGUGUGAAACGUCAUUAUGGUACAAGAUAAUAUCUGAGACAAAUCUGAGCAUCAUCAAAGAUUAUAAUUAUGCCUUUGCCGUUCAAACAAUAGCAUGGAAUAAUAAUCUUUCUGGAUAAUUAUGUACAGUUACUCAAACAUUUUAUUAUUUUGUUGUUGAUUUCUACAUUCUUACACGUGAAAUCAAUCUAUCUACCCAACUUCUGCCAAAAGAUGCUAUCAAUAUAUCAAUGACACUUGCUUUUCCUCCUAUUUAUUCUCUAUUAGUGGAACCAAGCAAAUUUUAUUAUGGGGGAUUAGUGGAACAAUAUCACCCAAUGACUUUCUAAACACACACAAAAUAUUAGCAUGCAUCCUGUUUAAAGACAAAUUAAGGGGAAUAAUGAUCAUUUUUCAUCUUAAUAGAUGAUUUUUACUAAAAGAAAAAUUGACGUAGGCGAAUGAUUUUUGAACUUUUUAUUUCCAAAGGUUCAUGAUAUGUCUUGUUUGAUAAUCAUAGUCUGCUAUUUUAGAAGUGAAAAACUACUGGGUACUAUUGUUAAUCUUGAAAUCCAAGAAACAUAUAUCAACAGUGGAAACAAAUACAAAGACGCUUCCUAUAAUUCAUGUUUUUUUCUAAUGAGUUUUGUAUUAUGAAUUUAUUUAUUAAUAGAAAAGUCAGGACGUUAAGUUGAAUAUUCUUCAACUUCCAAGUAGGUUUUGUAGAUACACAAAUCAAACGGUCAGGAAAUGGUGGUGUUUUUGAUCAUCUCGUUCUCACCUGUGAUCUUGACGAUCGGACAGUGAACCCUGGGAUGAGCAGCGAGCGACAGCGAGGCCAGCCCGGAUGCGAACGCCCACCGCACGAUCGCCUCACCGAGGGCCGAGGACGUCCUCAGCUUGUUGGUGAUCCAAAGCAGCUCGUGCGCCAGCUUCUCCGCCUCCAGCCACUCGUCCGCAUUAGCCGUCACCUGCUGGUGGGACUUGUAGGGGCGGAGGGCGCCGGCGGCGGCGGCGGCGGGGGGGAGGAGGCCGCCGAGGCAGAGGCGGAGGCCGUCGUAGAAGGCGGCGAGGCGGGGGCCGAGGGGGAGGAGGCUGAGGACGCGAGACGGCCAGGUGGCGGUGAUGGAGGAGGAGCGCUGGAGGGCGCGGCAGAGGAGCUCGCUGGUGCGGGAAAAGCCGGAGGCGAGGACGGCCCGGUUGACCUCCAGCAGCUCCCCGUGCCCCAGCUGGACAUUCUCCGUCACUAUUCUGUCCGCCAUCGCCAGUACAAACUCGUACUUUGUCGACGUCGACGGGAGUUCGUUCAGGAUCACCAAGAUCUGCCAACAAAACCAGAGAAGGAUUUUUUUUUUUUAGUUAGUGGUAAAGAUAAUCUUGGUAAAAAGUUAUGGAGAGUUUCAUCGUAAGUUUGGAUAACAAAUAUUACUAUACAUACAUGGUUACAAGAAAGCAAACAUGGGAGCAGAAUCGAACAUUUUUUAGACCUGGAACUAAAUAAAAAAACAUCUUCUCUAUUAAAAAUUACUAUAUUUUAAAUAUUAAUUAUUAUUAAAAAUUAAUUUUUUAUAAAUAUAUUUGUUAAGCAACGUAUAAAACUCAUCAUUAAUUUAUUUAAUUAUUUUUUUUAUUAUAAUAAUGUAGAAAGUCAUCUUUGCAUCCUAUUGGAACAUCAAUAUAGAACCUGAGGCUUGGGAGGGUCACUCAAUUCGACCUGCCCCAGGGUCGGUCCUGCAUAGGAGAUGGAAGAACAAUGAUAUGGAGGAACUAUCAAGAAGAACAAAAGUUAUAACACCAACAACAAUAACAUGUUGUAUCACAGUUAUAACUUUCUUGAAUUAGUACUGAGUAAUUUGUGAGUAAAAAUUCAAGAUGAUUUGUAAAUAAUAGGAUAAUAAUUGCUUAAUUCUUGCAGCACAAAUUAUUUCAAAGAUUACUUGACAAUGUAAAAAAAUAAAUAAUAAUUUUAUAAUUUUUAAACAUUGAGAAUAAUGUUAGGAUGGUAGAAAUAGGUGUCAUAUGUAUUUACUAUCCAUACUCAUUCAUGAUAAAAUUCUAUUAGAUUGCAAUUUGUAUCUGUUCUCGUAUACAAUACAAAAAAAAGAAAGAAAGCACCAAAGAAGGCUACAUAGAAACAUAUCAAAUCUAAGAUGUUAUUAGUAAACUCUCUCUCCAUAGCCCAAGAACAAUUUCCUAAUGGUAAACUAUAAGUUUUUUGUCAGAAGUUUUCCAUAAAUUAUUAUUUAAUAAUUUGCAAACGGUCUAGACUUACAUGCGAGAGAGCUCUCCCUAUGGCUGUAGUGCAUGCGCGGAGCCCACCUCCACUUCCUCCAUGCAAAACAAUGGCCGUAGAGGAGGACUGCUGCUUCUUGUCAAUCAAUCCUUCAACACCAAAAUCUAGCAGGGAAAGAA